GUGUGGUUUCAAUUAUACUGACUCAUCGUGUACCCUGCUGCAAUGUUUCCCCCGUGAAUGUUGCAAUUUGUUGCCCAGAUUGUGCUGACCGUACGAUAGUGGUGUAUUAAAAUGAGAAGAAAUAAGAAUCCUUUUGUUUAUUUCCUAAGAUAUUGGUUCUGGUUUCUAAGAAGAACUGAAAUUACUAAGUUGUGCUCAGUGUUCUACUACCACCGCUUCUAUUAGCCUUUUUUUUGGGUGCUGCAACCUGUACCGAUUACUUAAAGGAAAAAUAAAUCUAACCACAUUAGCUAAACUGGACGCAGGUCAUUGCAAUCAGGAAAACUUCUAUGUAAACUUUGAACAGAUUACAUGUUAAAGGAUGUAUCAGAUAUGGCAACAAUAAGAGGUGCAAUAAUCUGAACAUUCCAAGAAGACGCUGCAUGCUGCACGCCUCUUAGACAUUGUAUAAUCGUAGCAGAGAAUCUUGACACGACAACCAGUCUAGUCCUUGGCCGCACUGGUCCCUGCCACUGCAACCGCUGGCCGCGGCCUAGUCGCCAUCGUCCAAGCCCACCGUCCCAUACCGCAUCAUGUCGACUCAGGCUGGACAGUGGCAACCUAAAUACAAAAGCUCCUCAAUUUAACAGUUGACUUGGGAGGCAUGGAGUGACUCGAGGACAAAAGUGGUGCUGCCGGCUGGAGCUUCCGAUGGUGAGUACGGAGCAGCAACGAGAAAGAGAAUGACCAUGAACUGUGAAGAAGAUAACAUUUUGGGAUGAGAUCGUCAUAUAUGUGGUGGAGGAUGCUGGUUGCUCUCUGGCAGUCUGGCUAAAUGCACGCUACUAUACUUGUAUCGAAGAGAGUACUGUUUGGAAUUAUCUUGGCUAUUACUAGUUACGUGGUUUAAAACUUCUUUAUCCAAUAUAAGAGCAUCUACAGCUGGAUAUAGCAAGUUUGGCUCCCAAUACGUCCGCGUACACCCUGGAUGCGCCCGCGGAUAGGGACAGGUCACCCCUCAAAGGCACGCGUCCACAGCCGGGUAUCUCAAAUCCGGCACCCAAAUCCAUGUUAUCUAUGUAACGUAUGAACAAAACUACAUAGACAAACAAAACUACAUAGACAGGCGUAAGAAAGCAACAAGCGGACAUAGAUCAACGAAAUUGCAUAGGAGAAUAUAUACAUCGCAGUUCACCGGACCAAAAAACAAACAGUUCAUCGCCGGACGGCCUAGAAUCUAAACUUAAAUAGCCAAACAAGGACGGAGAAGGACAAAGGAAAUUACCAUUUUCCCGCCGGCCCAUCCCCGUUGUUGUCACCACUACGACUGUGUCUACGUUGGCGUUGGCGGCGGGAGAGUCGUCGUCGUCGUCGGAGCUAGAGCGGUGGGAGCCCUCGGGGAGGCUAGACUCCUCGUCGGAGCUGCACACUCAUUCGCCUUUGCUAUCCGGGCUGCCUUCACUUUUGCUGCCACCUUUGCCAUAGCCUCGCGCUUUAACUCCUCGGUGACAAGCCAGAUGGCUUUGGCAUUUUUCUGGCAAAGCCGCCGCGCAUUAGUCUCCACUACCAUGAAAGAGCGGCGGAGGACUGUCGCGAGGAGCUGGCCCUCCGAAUCCACCGUCGCCGCCAUUCCCUCAUAACGAUACCUUUAUAAUGAGAGAACCUUUAUUUUCCAUUGCCUAAACCUUGCACAACAUGUAUGUGCACUCUUUUUAUUGGAGUGGGCACAUUUUAUACCAUUAACUCCUGACCUUUCUCUCUUUUCAUGUCACUAUCCCAUCUCUCUCUCUCUCUCUCCACAUGUGUGUGUGUGAUGGUCUAGUGAUAGACAGACUACGAUUUAAUCUAGGCGCCAAGGUUAAGGCCACUUUAAAUAUAAAUUGAUAUAGUUGGCAUAAGAGAAAACAACAAUUAUAAACUAACAAGUGUAAGUGAAACAUGAAAGUUAUAUAAUGACUCAAGAACCUUGAUUUUCCAUUGCCCGAACCUUUCAUAACCCUAUGUGUGCACUCUUUUUAUUGGAGCGGGCACCUUUUAUACCUUGAAUUCCCAUCUCUCUUUCUCUCAUACCUUUGUGUGUGGUCUCUAGAUUGAUUAUGAUUUAAUCUAGGCGCCAAUGCUUGAUGUGGUUAAGACCGCUCGAAAUAUAAGUUGAUAGACUUGGCAUAAGAGGAAACAACAAUUAUGAGUGUAAGUGAAACAUGCAAGUUAUACCCCUCACAGUGAUGUAGUAUCCUCAUAUUUUUAAAAUGGCAUGAGAACCUUAUUUUUGCCAUUGCCUAAACCUUGCAUAAUAUGUACGCGCACUCUUUUUAUUGGAGUGGGCGCCUUUUAUACCAUGAACUCCUCAUCUUUAUCUCUUUCCAUGCCACUAUCCCAUCUCUCUCUCUAUCUCCACAUGUGUGUGUUGGUCUAGAGAUAGACAAACUAUGAUUUAAUCUAGGCACCAACACAUGAAGUGGUUAAGGCCACUUGAAAUAUAAGUUGAUAGAGGUGGCAUAAGAGAAAGCAACCAUUAUCAGCUAACAAGUGUAAGUGAAACAUGAAAGUAAUGGCACGAGAACCUUGAUUUUACAUUGCCCUAACCUUGCACAACCCUAUGUGUGCACUCUUUUUAUUGGAGCAAGCACCUUUUAUACCUUGAACUCCCAUCUCUCUUUUUCUCAUCCAUUUGUGUGUGGUCUGUAGACUGAUUAGGAUUUAAUAUAGGAGCCAACAUUUGAUGUUGUUAAAGCCGCUCGAAAUAUAAAUUGAUAGAGUUGGCAUAAGAGGAAACAACAAUUAUGAGUGUAAUUGAAACAUGCAAGUUAUAGCCCUCACAGCAAUCUAGUAUUCUCAUCUCUAAUGGCACGAGAAACUUUUUUUGCCGUUGCCUAAACCUUGCACAACAUGUACGUGCACUCUUUUUAUUGAAGUGGGCACCUUUUAUACCAUGAACUCCCGAUCUUUCCUCUUUCCACGUCAGUAUACAGUCUCUCUCUCUCUCUGUGUGUGUGUGUGACGGUGUAGAGAUUUAACAUAGGCACCAACACUUGAUGUUGUCAAGGCCACUUGAAAUAUGAGAUGAUAGAGUUGGCAUAAGAAGAAAGAAUAAUAUAUUUUUAAAGGAGGUUAGAACCCCAGCCUCUGCAUCAAUCCAUGCAUGCAACCAUCUUUAUUAAUUAUUCCACAAAGACCUGAUAAAAACAUACAUCAAUUCACCCGAAGCCACCACUCACACCUACAAACUCGAUAAUAUGGAGUGCUCUCACUCCCCAUAUCUAAAGCCGGUGUCGCCACCGAUCCAUCAACAUAAUGUAUCGGGACCAAUAGCUGGUGCAGCCUACCUAAAGCGCACACCACAUGCACACGUUUUAGAAGCCUUCAUCAUCAUCGGACCACUGAACCAUCUUCAAGAAAGAGAUUCGCAUCAUCCCUGCCAGGCCGGACAUCCGUCAACGCCCAACGGCGCCACCGCCCUGCGCUCGUCCUCCCAGACGCGAACAAUCAGAAAGAUCUAUCAUGCGUAGCACUUGCCAACUAGGCUGGACUUAGCGUAGCACCUGUCGGCUAGGCAUGACUUGACAGCUCCACCGAAGCUCCGUGCAAGACGAAGCCGCUCCUAAAAAAUUGGGAGAGAUUUUCACUUCCCGGCCUCUGCACCAACUAGAGGUGCAUACAAUCAUAUUAGUAUGAGUACCAAGAUAAACAGGGUCCUCAGAAUUUUUUAAUGAGUAUCAAGAUAUUUCUUGAUGAGUGGUUCCACCACACACCAAGCUUGAUUCUCAAUAAACGGGGGGAAACCCCUGUGCAUCACAUGUCAAUUCUGGGAAUUAAACUCAGGUUGUCAGGCUGCACAACUGCAUGCCCAACCACUGAGCCAAGACAAGAAUAAUAUGAACUAACAAGUGUAAGAGAAACAUGAAACUUGUAUAAUAACACGAGAACCUUAAUUUUUCAUUGCCCAAACCUUGCACAACCCUAUGUGUCCACACUUUUUACUGGAGCGGGCACCUUUUAUACCUUGAACUUGCAGUCCAAUUCUUCUCUACUAUUUUCAUAAUCUCCGCUUGCUGAUGAGUCGAUCACAUGUUCCUUUCACGAUGACAUGUAAGUGCAACUAAUUUCCUUGUCUAGAACAUCUCAUCCCAGUCCUCUGUCAGCAGAAAAUUUAACACAAACACAUUGUAUAUACGAGAAAGCUAGUUUACAGUCGGCAUGAAUUUUGCAUUAGAUCCAGACGAUGCAGAUUCCGUUCAUUUUGGAUCGAACGGCCCUAAUUGACCGCGCAGUUAGUUCACGAACCACCGGUUCUUUCUUAUCCCUCUGUGUUUCUCUCGCACGUCUAGUCCUCCUCCUGACGGUAAUCCCCGAUUUUUCUUCGCAUCCAGGUUCUCUCUCACACACUUGUUCCCUUCCUCACCCUGUUUAUCUCUCCCACAACUGUUCUCUAUCAAAAAAGAGAAAAGAAAUAGAGGUCUACCCUGGGAUUCAAACCCGAAUCAUCAAAGAUAAGCCGAUGUCUUUGUACCAACCGAGCUAGGCCAGAUCCCUUCAAAAUUAUUAGAUAGACCACUUUUUGACGAUGCAGUUUGUACUCCUAGGUGCAAAUGCACCAAAAUAAAAUCCAGACAACAUUUUUGCAUGUCAUGUGAUUCAAACGGUUGGGAUGUAGUAGUUAAUUUAACUAAACAACCAUCUCACUGAUGUCUUCUUUUUCGAAGAAAUAAAAGGCAAUAUGCUCUUCAUAUCUGCACGAACUUCGACUCGGUUUUUUUAUUGAAAUGUGUCCCGGUAAUUUUUCUGUAAAUAGCAUGAUUAGUUAAGCACCGUAGAUCUGAUAACUUAGGUACAAAUAUCAUGUUAGCUUUGACUAGAUGGAAAAAUUGUUAAAAAAAUACACACCCAAUAACUUCUAUUUAAAAAGCAUGAUGAUAUUCGCAUCCACAUCUGAUAACUUACAUACAAACUACAUGGUAACCUUGACCAGACGAGUUCUUGUUGUUGAAAACAUACCCCCGGUAACUACUGUGUAAAUAACAUGAUCAUUUAAGCUGCGCAUACCUGAUAACUUAAGUGCAAACAUCGCGAUAACUUCUACCAUGUGAAACAAUUGUUGAAACAUACACUUGAUAACUUCUUUGUAAAUAGCAUGAUAAUAUACGCAUCCACAUCUUACAUACACACACCAUGAUAAUAGCAUGAUAAUUUCAUAUUUGGAGACCUAUCGAGGUAUGGCAUCAGAAGGCCAAAAGUGGGUCCAAUGAUCCUCAAGUCAGAGACCGGCCGAUCCGCUGCUAUUGAUGUUGGCACUGUCGGGUUAAUCAAAAAGGUAUCAUCAAAGUAAGUAUAUCCUUGACAUGACAUAAAUUUCAUAACAGAUGUUGUCUUCAUAUGCCAAGUUUCAAUAUUCUAUUCAUCUCAUACAGGUACACGGGAGCAUUAGUAAGAUCAUGGGCGAUAUGGUUGAAUUUCAGUGCGGUAAAAAGAUAUCAUUUGACGCGAUUGUGUUUGCAACUGGAUACAAAAGCACAACAAAUAUAUGGCUCAGGGUAACAACAUCGAUGUUUGAAUAUGUCUGAGUUUGUUUUCUUGGUGCAACAAUUGUUAAAUCUGCUAACAAGCUUCGUGUUGUUUUUUUAUCCCAGAAUGGUGAGAGCAUGUUAAAUGGCAAUGGACUGCCCAUCAAAGAAUAUACAAAUCAUUGGAAAGGUGAAAAUGGGCUCUACUGUGCUGGGUUAGGAAGGAGAGGAUUGGCUGGUAUUGCAGCAGAUGCCAAGAAUAUCGCCAGUGACAUCAUAUCAGUGAUAGGCGCUAUGUCCGGGUAAAUUAUCAAAUCAGUGAAUGCGUCUUCGACAACGUGAUGUCUUUCAUCACCGGGCUCCUCAACAAGAUCAAGGAUGAGAUGUGAUGCUGGUCUAAGGCAGGGGCACAAGGCCUGCAGGUUGUUCUGCACCAAUCCUGGGAUGUCCACUGAGUUGUAUGCUGUACUGUAAAACUAACCUCCUAGGAGGAUUGUAACUUUUCCCCAUCCUUUCAAUUCAAUGAAACGCAAAGGUCUUUUUCAUUUUCUCGAUUGUUUUUAUCUUUUACAUGUAGUUUACUAGGGCUAGUGUGCUAGAUGGUUGAUUCUUUGAGAAAUCUAUCCACUUCCACCUGUCUAUCUAUCUUCAUCUAUCCUUGAUACAACUAGAUUUUGGUUUAUUUCAAGGUCCAUAUGUGCGAGGGAGUAAGCGUUACUUUUAUAAUAUAAUCAAGGGCUUUAUACUCACACGGUGCAAAGAAUUUUGUAUUUUUUUGUUGAAGAGUUACCUCGGAGGUUGUCGUCACAGUCCUCGGAGGCGCGUUUAUUUUCCAUUAGCUCUUAAAACCUGCUACUAGAUUUGUUAGUUUGACUCUUCUCUGAAAUCUUGGGAGUUACUAUUAACCGGAUAGCAGAUUUUCUAUUAUGUUUUAAAUGACAAUGAAGUUUCAAUCUCUGUAUCUGUUUAAACCACUAUUCUAGGAAUAAAUGUUUGAGCACUAUGUGUGCAUUAUGUUCGAAUGGAUGAAAUAUGCACCCUGCUCUAUUAAUUGUGUGCCUAUUUAGUUUUUUAGGAUGGUGAGAUUGACAAGUGCAGAUAGUGAUGGAUUUUUCGUUGAGGCUGUGACUUGUGCCUGCUUGAUUUUGCAUGUAGUAGAUACAUGUACGCGCGUGAGCACAUUUUGUUCAGUUAGUCAAAGAAUCUCUCCUGCAUUCUCCUUCUUUUAAUUAAUAAAACAAAUGUUCAUGGAAGCAUCAUCACCCUCCUCCAGGCUCCCUCCUCGACCCUCCUCUGUAACAAUGAGGUUGAUUUCUCCACAGAGUUUUUGGCUCAAUUUUUUUUCUUCAGUGCAUGGAGUUUGUGCUUUUCAUGACUAAAGUUGUUGAAGAUAUUGUGUGCGUGCCUUCAGCUGCUGGUGUUGAAGAAAAUUUGAUGCCCACGUGUGUGCUCGGGGCUGCACUUGAUAUAAUUCUUAUUCGGAUCAUGACUGAACUUGCAGUGCAGAACUUUUUCCGUGUUGACUUGGAGUUUUGAGCUCUUUCUCAUUGGCCUGGUUUCAAUUACACUGACUCAUCGUGUACCCUGCUGCAAUGUUUCCCCCGUGAAUGUUGCAAUUUGUUUCCUAGAUUGUGCUGACCGUACCAUAGCGUAGAUAGAAAGCAUCCCACCUGAAGACACACUAACAUAGUCGCACGAAGACCGGAUCUAUGUGGAUCCACCAAAGACAACCACCGCGCCAACCAUGCGAGAUCCGCCAGAGACACACAUCCACACGCCCCCUGACGAUGCUAGUAGCACCGCCGUGACGGGGGCUAGACGGGGAGAAUCUUAUUCCAACUUCAAGGAGUCGCCGCCACUUUGUCUUCCUAAGCAUGACACAAACUCUAAACGGACACAAAGGCAUCUAAAAACCAAGGAGGAGCCCUCCCGCCGGCAUGGACCGAGAUCCAUCGUGCGGCCAUGGCCUAAGGCCGAGAUGAGGUAGAGCUGCGGCGCUGCCAGCAGGAGGCGAGAAACCCAAUUCACCUUGGACUCACAAGCAGUGGCAGAGCUUGAAGCACAAUCCUGGGUGGGCUGGGCGGGCGAAAGAGAGGAAAAUAGCCCGUGGGCAUGUGUUCUAAGGCCUCAUGGAUACAUGUAUCGUGUAUAAGUUUUCAGAUGUUGGGCGGGCCACAACACGGGAUGGCCCCAACGUAGCUCUGCCACUGCUCACGAGAGCACAAGCGAACGGGUACAAGCUGUUCGGUUUUAGUCAGUUUAAACACCCGAGGGAGCGAUGGGAACUCCUAUUUUGUGGCUUGUUGCUACAAAAUGUCGGGCAAUCACACACCCCAUGUGCUAUCAUGGAUCAGCCCAUGAUGCCCAAAAAAUACGUUGAACUCCGCAUGUUAUCUUUGGUUCUGCUUUCAUGUGUGUUUUUUCGUUACAGUUUCUUUGAUUUUUAUCUGAUUUCCUUUUUUCGUUCGACUUUUCCGUUUCUUUCUUAGAUUUUGUUUUCUUCCAUUCUUUUGUUUUUCCAUGGUUUUCUUCCACCUUUUAUAUUUUAUUUACCCUUUCAUAAAAUCAUGUUUUUUAUAUUCAUGAACACUUAAAAAAUUGAUGUUAAGAAAACCAAUCAUUGAAAUAUGAAAAACCAGUGAAUAUUUUUUUAAGUUCCGGAUUUAAGAAAUUAAACAUUUUGUGAAAUAAACCAUUUUAAAAAACACUUAAGCGAGAACUUUUAUAAAAUCAUGAACCUUUUUUACAGUACAAAAACAUUUCAUUAAUUCACAAACAUGUUUUUAGUUCUUGAUUAUUUUAAUCUUGCAAUUAUAUAUUUUCAAUUCUAUCAAAAAGUAAGAGGAAGCUGUUUUUAAUGAAAAUUGUGUGACAAACAGAAGGAAGAAAAACCGAGAGUGCGCGUAUUAAUUGGGCUGCCGGACGCAACACCCGUUAUUUCGAUGUACUGAGCGUUAUUGUGUCCAAUCAGGCCCAUAUGUCAACCAAUCGAUGGACACUGGCUUAUUCUGUCCUGCAGAUUUUCAACGUGAAAUGGCGAUCGUUGUUUCUUUGAGAGUGUAAGGCAGAGAUUUUUAAAAAAUAAAACUGUCCUCGUCCGUUAGCUAUUAGGUCAUUCUACCUAUGUAACAGUACAUAUGAAAUGAUGUACAGCUAGCUAGCUGGAUUCGUUUAUUUUUAUUUUUUUUGAACAAAGCAAGGCACCAAUAGGCGCCCAAUUUCAUUUCAGCUCAUAAGAUAAGUACAUCAGUGAGUACAGCGGCGAGAAGAUAGACANNNNNNNNNNNNNNNNNNNNNNNNNNNNNNNNNNNNNNNNNNNNNNNNNNNNNNNNNNNNNNNNNNNNNNNNNNNNNNNNNNNNNNNNNNNNNNNNNNNNNNNNNNNNNNNNNNNNNNNNNNNNNNNNNNNNNNNNNNNNNNNNNNNNNNNNNNNNNNNNNNNNNNNNNNNNNNNNNNNNNNNNNNNNNNNNNNNNNNNNNNNNNNNNNNNNNNNNNNNNNNNNNNNNNNNNNNNNNNNNNNNNNNNNNNNNNNNNNNNNNNNNNNNNNNNNNNNNNNNNNNNCAUCCAACUAUGUGUUGUGCCUGACUCAAUGAAUUGUUUGCAGAUCAAGGAGAUCAAUGAGAUGGGCACGGAGGUGCUCCCGGCCGUUGACAACAAGGGCAAGGAGCCGGUUCAUCCAAUGCCCGAGGUGAUGGUGCCGCCCACUGCCAAGGAAGAUCCGAAGACGCCAACGGUUGGCAACGACGAGCGCGGGAGGAGCCCCCCAGCAGCAAGCGCUGCAACUACGGCCACUACCAUGAGGAGGGUGGCCCAACUCACUUCUGCAAAGUAAUCCUUGCACCGAAGCUUGAGUGCAUUCCCAUGCCCCUAGACUUCACCAAGCACUUCAUCGUCGUGCUGACGGAGUGCAAGCUGAGGAGCAAUACCAGCUGCUCCUGGAGGGUGACGGUGAAGCUAAUGAACAAGGUGACCCUGGAUCAGGGUUGGGCCACCUACACCGUCAUUCAGCAGAUCAAGAUCGGCUACAUGGUGACGUUCAAGCUCCUCACUCCUGACACCCUCAAGGUCAUCAUCUUCGACGACGAUGGCAUUGAGGUGGUCAACAAGUGCGGGAAGCACGACGAAGCCUUCGCCGCCAAGGACUAGGGCCGGGGCACCUCCUUCCUAAGUACUAUCGAGUCUGCUUUAUGGUUUAUGCACUGAAUUGUUUGAACUAUCAUCAUGAUGUGUGGUACUAUGUUAUCGAUCUGAACUAUGGUGAUAAGUAUUGAUGCUCUGUUUAUGCUAUUCUCUGCUUAUGAUGUGUGGUACAUGGUUGUGCUGAAGUGUGCCGGUAACCUCACCAUCUAGCCAAAGAGGUUACCACACACCAGGCAUUGCAUAUCGGAGACAUAAGACACCUCAGGGUCUUCUUUCUUAGGCUUUAACCAUUGGUGGAUACUGAUCGGGAUCUUGUCCCUAACAAGAACCCCGCACUGAGCACGAAAUGCAUCCCUUGUCCGGAUGGGUUCAAUCGGCUUGCCAUCGCGCGCGAUUGCUGUGAUCUCAAACCUUUCAUCCGAGCGCAACUUUUUCUUCGGGCCUCGUUUCUUUACAAAAGUUGUGCUCGAUCCGGAGGGCUGGAGAAAAGAAGAAAGACGAGAGUUAAUUAAUAUUUGCACAUAUGAAAACAAUGAAUGCAUCAAUUAGCUAGUGAGCACGGGCUUAACUAAUAUAUAUAUACCUAGCCGGACUCGGUUCGGUCACCGGAGCCGUCAUCACGGUCUCCUUCUUGUACCUGCAUUGGGUCACCGGAGCCAUCAUAAUCAUAGCCCUCUUCUUGUACCGACAUUAAUGGGUCACCGGAGCCAUCAUAAUCAUAGCCUUCUUCACUACCCCGUGCUUCCAGUCCAUCGGCGUCGUUGAGAAACGACGCAACAACAUCACUUCCUUUUACGAUUAUGUCCACCAACAUUGCUUCUGUUGCUUCGCCUCGGGGGUGCUCCAUAGUUUCUGCAAAUAUUUACAGCAUGUCAAUUAUUAUUCAAACAUGACAGAUGGAUAUAUAUUAGUGGCAAACGUAGAACUAGCUAGGUAAUCACAAUAAGGAAUCAUAUUAGUGGCCUCAACGCUGCUUCUCUAGGGUUUGGGGUGGCCUGGACAACGCUUCAAGGGUUUGGGGUGGCCUCGACACAACGCUUCAAGGGUUUGGGGUGGCCUCGACGACAACGCUCUUUUAACUUGGUAAAUUUGGGUGGUCUCGAGAGAGUUUGUCGGGUAGGGGCGCGGCGAGAGGGGGUAGGAGACCAACAUCUUUUUUUCUAGGGUUUGGGUGUCCUCGAGAGUUCUGGUCGAGCGAGAGGGCUGGGGAGGGGGGGUGCUCCCGUGGUAUAANNNNNNNNNNNNNNNNNNNNNNNNNNNNNNNNNNNNNNNNNNNNNNNNNNNNNNNNNNNNNNNNNNNNNNNNNNNNNNNNNNNNNNNNNNNNNNNNNNNNNNNNNNNNNNNNNNNNNNNNNNNNNNNNNNNNNNNNNNNNNNNNNNNNNNNNNNNNNNNNNNNNNNNNNNNNNNNNNNNNNNNNNNNNNNNNNNNNNNNNNNNNNNNNNNNNNNNNNNNNNNNNNNNNNNNNNNNNNNNNNNNNNNNNNNNNNNNNNNNNNNNNNNNNNNNNNNNNNNNNNNNNNNNNNNNNNNNNNNNNNNNNNNNNNNNNNNNNNNNNNNNNNNNNNNNNNNNNNNNNNNNNNNNNNNNNNNNNNNNNNNNNNNNNNNNNNNNNNNNNNNNNNNNNNNNNNNNNNNNNNNNNNNNNNNNNNNNNNNNNNNNNNNNNNNNNNNNNNNNNNNNNNNNNNNNNNNNNNNNNNNNNNNNNNNNNNNNNNNNNNNNNNNNNNNNNNNNNNNNNNNNNNNNNNNNNNNNNNNNNNNNNNNNNNNNNNNNNNNNNNNNNNNNNNNNNNNNNNNNNNNNNNNNNNNNNNNNNNNNNNNNNNNNNNNNNNNNNNNNNNNNNNNNNNNNNNNNNNNNNNNNNNNNNNNNNNNNNNNNNNNNNNNNNNNNNNNNNNNNNNNNNNNNNNNNNNNNNNNNNNNNNNNNNNNNNNNNNNNNNNNNNNNNNNNNNNNNNNNNNNNNNNNNNNNNNNNNNNNNNNNNNNNNNNNNNNNNNNNNNNNNNNNNNNNNNNNNNNNNNNNNNNNNNNNNNNNNNNNNNNNNNNNNNNNNNNNNNNNNNNNNNNNNNNNNNNNNNNNNNNNNNAUAUUCUAUAAAAAAUCAUAUACAUAUAAUCUGAAAAAAAACAUCAUAUUCUAUAAAAAAUCAUCAUAUAUAUGAACAAAAACAAUUAUGAUAACAAUCAUAUAUAGCAUCAUAUAUAUGAAAAAACACACAUAUAAUCAUCACAAUAUUAAAAAAACAAGGAAUAGGGGAGGGCGUCGGCCGGACCAAGGUGAGGAGGGGCAGGGGCGCGGGGUCGGCGACGGAGGCGGGGGCGCGCCUGGGCGACGGCGACGAAGGGGGAGGGGUAGGGCGACGACGACUACGGAGGCGGGCCGGGGCGACGCGCGUCGGGGCAGGGCCGGGGCGGCGCGCGUCGACGCUCAAUUUUAUAUAAUUUUAGUUUCAAUAAUACUAGAUGUUGCUUAUAAUGUUUUGAACAGAAAAUAUUUGAUAAUUUUAGUUUCAUAAAUUUUAUUUAUGUUAUUAAAGUUUUUAUUUUGUUUCUACUUAUCUAUUUUAUUAGAGUUUAUAUUAUUUUGUAUCAAAUUACUUAUUUAUUUUAUUUUAUUUUGUUUCUGACUUCAUUUGUUAUUUUUCAUGCAUUUACUGAUUAUUAGAGCCAUAAGACCAUGAAAUUGAAAAUCAUUUGAAAUGAACUCUGAAAAGGUUCCAAGUUGGCAUGGUAUCGUCAUUUCACCCACAUAGCAUGUGCAAGAAAGUACACAGGCUUACGGCAAAAACUGGAUGCACUUCGUGUACAAAGCAAACAAUCUCCUUCGAAGUAUCAGGGUUUCAUACGGAAACUCGUCUGUUACAAAGGGAUUUCAUUUUUUUGAACUUAUUUGAACUCCAUAGUUUUCUGUGUUCAAAAUGCACCAUUCAAAGCCACAUCAUCAAUUUACAACCCUUUACUUCAUUUGUUAUUUUUCAUGUAUUUACUGAUCAUUUUGAGCUAUAAGACCAUGAAACUGAAAAGCAUUUGAAAUGAACUCUGAAAAGGUUCCAAGUUGGCAUGGUAUCAUAAUUUCACCCACAUAGCAUGUGCAAUAAAGUACAGAGGCUUACAACAAAAACUGGAUGCACUUCGUGUAUAAAACAAACAAUCUCCUUGGAAGUAUCAAGGUUUUAUACGGAAACUCGUUUGUUAUAAAGGGAUUUCAUUUUUUUGAACUUAUUUGAACUCCAUAGUUCUUUUGUGUUCAAAAUGCACCAUCCAAAGCCAGAUCAUCAAUUUACAACCCUUUCUGACUUAAUUUGUUAUUUUUCAUGCAUUUACUGAUUAUUUUGAGCUAUAAGAUCAUGAAAUUGAAAAGCAUUUGAAAUGAGCUCUGAAAAGGUUCCAAGUUGGCAUGGUAUCAUCAUUUCACCCACAUAGCAUGUGCAAGAAAGUACAGAGGCUUACGGCAAAAACAGGAUGUACUUCAUGUACAAAACAGACAAUCUCUUUCGAAGUAUCAGGGUUUCAUACGUAAACUCGUCUGUUACAAAGGGAUAUCAUUGUUUUGAACUUAUUUGAACUCCAUAAUUUAUCUGUGUUCAAAAUGCACCAUUCAAAGCCACAUCAUCAAUUUACAACCCUGUCUGAGUUCAUUUGUUAUUUUUCAUGCAUUUACUGAUUAUUUUGAGCUAUAAGACCAUGAAAUUGAAAAGCAUUUGAAAUGAACUCUGAAAAGGUUCCAAGUUGGCAUGGUAUCAUCAUUUCACCCACAUAGCAUGUGCAAUAAAGUACAGAGGCUUACGGCAAAAACUGGAUGCACUUCAUGUACAAAACAGACAAUCUCUUUCGAAGUAUCAAGGUUUCAUACGGAAACUCGUCUGUUACAAAGGGAUUUCAAUUUUUUGAACUUAUUUGAACUCCAUAGUUUAUCUGUGUUCAAAAUGCACAAUUCAAAACCACAUCAUAAAUUUACAACCCUUUCUGACUUCAUUUGUUAUUUUUCAUACAUUUACUGAUUAUUUUGAGCUAUAAGACCAUGAAAUUGAAAAGCAUUUGAAAUGAACUCUGAAAAGGUUUCAAGUUGGCAUGGUAUCAUCAUUUCACCCACAUAGCAUGUGCAAGAAAGUAUAGAGGCUUACGGCAAAACCUGGAUGCACUUCGUGUACAAAACAGACAAUCUCUUUCGAAGUAUCAGGGUUUCAUACGAAACUCGUUUGUUACAAAGGGAUUUCACCCACAUAGCAUGUGCAACAUAGAGCUCUCCGGAGCAUCUAAUUAAACCAUAUAUUGAAAUUAUGUAAAACAUUUAUAUGCAAAAACAAAUGUGAUCAUAAUCGCAACCAAGGUAACAACUGAUCCAACUGCAUAAUGAUACCAAGCCUCGGUAUGAAUGGCAUAUUUUCUAAUCUUUCUAAUCUUCAACCGCAUUGCAUCCAUCUUGAUCUUGUGAUCAUCGACGACAUCCGCAACAUGCAACUCCAAUAUCAUCUUCUCCUCCUCAAUUUUUCUUAUUUUUUCCUUCAAAUAAUUGUUUUCUUCUUCAACUAAAUUUAACCUCUCGACAAUAUGGUCGGUUGUUAUUUCCGGUUCAACCAUGUAACACCCACGAUGCGGCUAUAUCUCCCACGUGUCGAAGCACGACUUAGAGACAUAACCGCAUAGUAGUUUUGUCGCAAGAAGGGUCAUCUUCACACAAUCCCAUGUAAUGAACAAGAAUGGGAUAAAGAGAGUUGGCUUACAAUCGCCACUUCACAGAAUACAUAAAUUAAGAUCAUACAUCAUUCAAAUACACUCAUAGACCGGCUACAGUCAAGUUCAAAAUAAAAGAAGACAACCCCAAAUGCUAGAUCCCCGAUCGUCCCGACUGGGCUCCUCUACUGAUCAUCUGGAAACGAAACAUAGUAACGACCAAGGGCCUCAUCGAAUUCCCACUUCAGCUUAGUUGCGCCAUCUGCGCCAGUAUCCUCGGCACCUGCAUCUGUUUUGGUAGAAUCUGUGAGUCACGAGGACUCAGCAAUCUCACACCCGCGAGAUCAAGACUAUUUAAGCUCAUAGGUAGGUAAGGGGUAAAAUGGUGGAGCUGCAGCAAGCACUAAGCAUAUAUGGUGGCUAACAUACGCGAGUGAGAGCGAGAAGAGAAGCAACGCAUCGGUCGAGAACUAGAAGUGAUCAAGAAGUGAUCCUGAAACUACUUACGUCAAGCAUAACUCAAACCGUGUUCACUUCCCGGACUUCGCCGAGUAGAGACCAUCACGGCUACACACAUGGUUGAUGCAUUUUAAAGAGGUCAAGUGUCAAGUUAUCUACAAAAGGACAUUAGCAAAUUCCCAUCUGCCUCAUAACCGCGGGCACGGCUUUCGAAAGAUUAUAUAUCCUGCAGGGGUGCCCCAACUCAGCCCAUCACAAGCUCUCAUGGUCAACGAAGGAAUAGACCUUCUCCCGGGAAGACCCGAUCAGUCUCGGAAUCCCGGUUCGCAAAACAUUUUGACAAUGGUAAAACAAGACCAGCAAAGCCACCCGAUGCGCCGACAAAUCCCGAUAGGAGCUGCGCAUAUCUCGUUCUCAGGGCACACCGGAUCGUCCAAACUUCCGGUAGGCCAGCCCAGAGUUGCCCCUGGUGGCCACCGGCGGCUGACAGGUUGGACCAACACUCACGACGAGCACUGGCCCGGGGGGGGGGGUAAAUAAAGAUGACCCUUGGGCUCGCGAAAACCCAAGGGAAAAGGGCUUAGGUGGCAAAUGGUAAAACCAAGGUUGGGCCUUGCUGGAGGAGUUUUAUUCAAAGCGAACUGUUAAGGGGGUCCCAUAAAUCACCCAACCGUGUAAGGAACGCAAAAUCAAGGAACAUAACACCGGUAUGACGGAAACUAGGGCGGCAAGAGUGGAACAAGUCACCAGGCAUAAGGCCGAGCCUUCCACCCUUUACCAAGUAUAUAAGGUGCAUUAAUUUAAACAGGAGAUAUUGUGAUAUCCCAAAAUAUCCGUGUUCUGACCAGGAACAAACUUCAUCUUCACCUGCAACUAACAACGCUAUAAGAGGGGCUGAGCAAAAGCGGUGACAUAGCCAAACAACGGUUGCUAGGAUAGGUUGGUUAGAGGGUUGACAUGGCAAUAGGUAGGCAUGGUAAACAAAGGUAGGAAGAGCUAACAUAGCGAUAGAUCGAGUACUAGCAAGCAAAAAUAGAAGUGAUAUCGAAGGUAUGAUCAUCUUGCCUGCAAGGUUCUCAGAGUUGUCGAAGGCUGGAUCCUCGUUAGCGUACUCAAUAGGUUCCUCGUUCACGUACUCGUCUCCCAGAUCUACCCAAAGCAAGAACACAAGCAAGGAACCACAAUAAAUCACGGUGCAAUGCACAGGCAUCAUGAUGCAAAACAUGUCAUGAUAUGCGAGAGGUGAUAUGCAAAGCGUACGCGUGCUUCGGAAGGAAAGAUGAUGAACAAGGCAUCAACUUGGCAAACCAAGUAUGCCGCUGGAAAGAUGAGAUGAUUUUGGUUGGAAUCGAUAUAGAGAUCACCGGAUUCGGAUGCACGGUUUGCAAAAGACAAGCAAGACAAGAUAUGAUGCAAACAGCAACAUGGCCACUUGGAUGCAAAGUAUGAACAAGCUAUAGCACCCAAACAUAUGAACAAGAUGCCUAACAGUGAUGUACAGGAGAUGCCCUACGAAACAUGAGCACUGAGCUCAACCUAAAAUCACUAGAGCAUGACUAAAAUAGCAUGGCAAUAUUGCAAGAGAUAACAGUUCUACAGACUUAGUGGAAUUACUAGACAUAGCAGAAAUAGAUUCAUCAUGGCAUCUCUACAGGCUUGAUCAACUCAUUACCAGGCAUGUCAUGGCAUGGAACAAGUACUAGCAUGAAGUAGGCAUGACAAAGCAGCUACUCAUGUGCAAAACAAACAACUAGCUUAUUUGCAUGAACAAGCACAUAAGAGACAAAACAACAAUAAGAAGUGAGAUGGCAUGAUUAUGAACUUGCUCAAAUGCAGAAACUAAUGCCACCAAUGGAUUGGUGGGAUUUUUCUACCCCAAAAACAUAUAUAGUAUGUUAGGGUUGCUGUAGAAAAAUCAUCACAAAUGCACAAAGAUAAAACCUGCCUAAAAUGGUAAUUGACAGAAAUGGCACUUUCCAUAGUUGGUAACGUCCAGAAUUGGACUUGCCCGAAAAGGACAGAUUCCACAUGCUAGAAAUGGAAUAUUCACUGGGAAUCAAAAUAAAACAAAUAAUAAUAAUAAAAUAAAUAAAUAAAAAAACAAACGGCUAAGAGAGGAUGACAGGUGGGGCCACCCUGUCAUACUCACAGUGCAAGAAAAGGAAAAAGGGGGGAGAAUAAACUACACCCGCGGGGGAUCGAACCCGGGUCUCCCCGAUGUGGCUCUGCUACGGCAACCCUAGGCUAGGUGGGUGGUUCUGAUAGGAAAGGGCUUCGGCUCCUUUUAGGUAAGCACCAGGUCGAGCCACUCUGUUUUCAAACAGAGAAGACGAUGGCGCCGGCGAGGGAAACGGCGGCAAUCCAGCGGGCACAGGGACUCCGGCGGCCGUGCGGAAAGGGGAACGGACGCGUGCAUCUACGAGGGAAAGCAGGGGCGCUCGAGCUCGAGCAGUUGCUCGACUCCGGGCCAUGGCGUCCGCGGCGAGCGGCAGAGGAACUUGCCGGAGCUGCGGGAGGCUUGCAGGGCGCGCGCGAGGCGUAAACGAGUGCGCGAGCGCGCUACGGGAGCACGACGAGGGGGAACCAUAGCGGGGACAUGCACAACACGCAUACGGUUGCACCGCACUGCACCAACAAAUUCAGAAACGCCGGAGCACUGCGAGCGCGGGAAAGACAAGGAUCGGAUGCGAUCUACGGGCUCCUACAUGCUAUGGGAAGGAUGGGAGAGGGAGGCGCGUUACCCAGCUCACCCAAGGACACGGAGUAGUCGACGGAGACGAGCUGCCGGCGAUGAGGUGGAGCUUUGAAUCUUGGCGCGUUUUCUUACCGAGAGGAAGGAGGAAGCAGGGGACGUCGAUGAACUCAUCGUCCGGGCACCAUAGUCGACGUCGUGGAAGGAGACGACGGCGAGGAAUAAAAUGGACACGAACUGCGGGGUUUGGAGUGGCCGGAGAGCACGCCGGCGACGAGGCGCGCUCUCAGGUGCGCUCGGGACGGGGCGGAAGCGGCAGAUCUGGUGGCUAAACUCACCUGGAAACGGUGGCGGCGGACGAGGGAAACCCUAGGCGACGCGAGGGACAUGGAAACUGGGGCUUAUAAGGGCUAGGGCGAGCGGUGCGAGCUCACGCACGCUCGUGCUCGCGGUCCCCAUGGCGACGGCGAGAGGAGAGGGAAAAGGUGGGUGCGGGAAACAGGGGAGGCGCUGACGAGCGGGGCCGAUCUACCCACGUGGCGAGGGACCAGCGGGGGUGACCGGUUGCGUGGGUGAGAAAAGUCACGGAGGGGUGGACCGAACGGGCCGGCUGGCGCAAAGGCUGGGCUGCGCGGUUAGCUAGCUGGGCCGGCCUAGGAGACCGAGGCCCAGGGGGGGCUACUGCGCUGGCUGCUACUGCUGCUGCUUCAUUUCUAUUUUUAAAAACAGAAAUAGAAACAGUAAAGCUCAGGAAAAAGAGAGAGGAGUUAGAGCAUAAAGAAAAUACUCUCCAACUCCUGGAAUUAUCCACUAUUUUAAUAAAUUGCAUUGGGCAUUUUUAGAGGUAGAAAAAUAAGACAAGCUUGAAUUAUAUUCAAACUUGUGUCAUUUUUGAACCUGACCAAAACAACUUCAAAUAAGGAGAUCUUUGGCAGAGAGGUUUAGGGCAAGGAGCAAGAUUUACAGGGAGAAGAUGAACAAUAAUAGAGAAGGAAAAAUAGCACUUGAUAAGAGAAGGAAGGAGAAGGAAGGAGGAGAAGUGAUGGUGCCAUGGUUGAAAAAAAGGGGGGGAGGACAAGGUCAUGCCCAUGAUGCUCAUGGCAUCAACAUGAAUGACAAAAUGCAACAUGAGAUGAAAUGAGAUGAAAAUGCACUAUGUGAUGAUGACAAAAAGCACAAAUGCAAUAUGGCUAAAAGGAAUAUGACAAUGAAAAGAAUAAAACCACACAACCAAACAAGAUGAGGCCAAACAUGAUAAAACCCACAAGAAUUGGAUGAGGUCAAGUUGAUAUAUUGCCAAAUUGGGACAUGUUACAUCUGGGGUGUUACAACUCUCCUCCACUACAAGAGGAUCUUGUCCCGAGAUCUAGGACUGAAAGAACUCCGGAUAUUCGGAACGGAGAUGAUCCUCGCGCUCCCAGGUGGCUUCUCGGUCGGAAUGGUGUGACCACUUCACUUUCAGGAAUUUGAUUGACUUGUUGCGAGUCUUGCGCUCGGUUUCUUCAAGAAUAGCAACGGGGUGCUCAUGAUAAGAGAGAUCUUCUUGGAGGUCGAUCUCUUCGAAGUUGAUAGUGCGCUCAGGAGUCUUGAAGCACUUGCGAAGCUGUGACACGUGAAACACAUCAUGCACGUUUGCAAAGUUGGAUGGAAGCUCAAGUUGAUAGGCGAGGUCGCCUCUUUUGCCAAUGAUCUUGAAAGGACCCACGUAUCUAGGGGCAAGCUUCCCUUUGAUACCGAAGCGACGGGUGCCUUUCAUUGGAGAGACACGGAGGUAGACAUGGUCUUCGAUUUCAAAAGCCAAGUCACGGUGCUUGCUAUCAUAGUAACUCUUCUGUCGCGAUUGUGCGGCUUUGAGAUUCUCACGAAUGACUUUGCACAUUUCUUUGGCUUCUAUGAUCAAGUCGUUGCCAAGAAGUUGGCUUUCACCUAUCUCAGACCAGUUGAGAGGAGUACGGCACUUUCGGCCAUAGAGAAUUUCGAAUGAGGCCUUGCCCGAACUCGCUUGGAAGCUGUUGUUGUGGGAGAACUCGGCAUAUGGAAGAUAAUCUUCCCACUUCAUACUGAAAGAGAUGACACAAGCCCUGAGCAUAUCUUCAAGGAUUUGAUUGACUCGCUCGACUUGGCCACUUGUUUGAGGAUGGAAAGCUGUGCUGAAACGAAUGUUGGUGCCCAUGGCCAUCUGGAAGGAGUCCCAGAACUUGGAAGUGAAGAUGCUUCCACGAUCUGAAGAUAUCAAUUGUGGAAUACCAUGCAAGGAGACAAUUCUGGAGGUGUAUAGCUCUGCCAACUGAGCUGCUGUGAUAGAUUCUUUGAUAGGAAGAAAAUGAGCCACUUUGGUAAGCUUGUCAAUGACAACGAAGAUAGCAUCAUUUCCACGCUUGGACUUAGGAAAACCAGUCACGAAGUCCAUCUCGAUAUGGUCAAACUUCCAUUCCGGAAUAGCAAGAGGUUGAAGGAGACCAGCUGGUCGUUGGUGUUCUGCUUUCACUCUUCUGCAGACAUCACAUUCAUUCACGAAUUGAGCAAUCUCUCGCUUCAUUCGAGUCCACCAAUAUGACUGCUUGAGGUCAUGGUACAUCUUUGUACUUCCAGGAUGAAUGGAUAGGAGGGAAUUGUGUGCCUCAUUCAUAAUGACCUUUCUCAGAUCACCUUUUGGAACCACAAUUCGAUCCUCGAAGAAAAGAGUAUCUUUGUCAUCCAAGCGAUAGCACUUGUACUUGGGAAUGCCCUUGUCAAUACCACGUUUCACCUUCUUCACCAUGGUAUCCAGGAUUUGUGCCUCACGAAUUCGAUCUUCCAAAGUAGGAGAGACUAUGAGGUUGGCAAGAAAGCCUUGAGGAACAACUUGAAGAUUCAGCUUGCGAAAAGCCUCACAAAGAUCCAGUUGAAACAGCUUGAGAAUUAGACUGUUGCAAUAAGCCUUUCUGCUCAGAGCAUCUGCAAUCACAUUCGCCUUGCCAGGAGUAUAUUCGAUACUCGGAUUGUACUCCUGAAUCAUUUCGACCCAUCGGGUUUGCCUGAGUUUAAGGUUGGGUUGAGUGAAGAUAUACUUGAGGCUCUUGUGAUCGGUGAAAAUGUCCACUUGCCUUCCCAAUAAGAGAUGCCUCCAUGUUAUCAAUGCAUGGACAACUGCCGCCAACUCAAGAUCGUGAGUGGGGUAGUUCUUUUUCGUUGGGCUUCAACUGAUGAGAGGUAUAGGCCACAACUUUCUUCUCUUGCAUCAACACAGCACCGAGACCUUGAAGGGAAGCAUCACAGAAUACUUCGAAUGGUUUGGAUUCAUCAGGAGGAGUCAAGAUAGGAGCUGUGACUAGCUUCUCUUUGAGGGUGUUGAAAGCGACGUCACACUCAGGCGUCCAGACGUACUUGACAUGCUUCUGGAGUAGGUUGGAAAGAGGCUUUGCAAUCUUAGAUAAGUUCUCAACGAAUCUUAUGCAAUAGCUUGCAAGACCAAGAAAACUACGGAGCUGCUUGACAUUCUGAGGAGGUUCCCAAUUCACAACUGCAGAAACCUUCGCCGGAUUAACAGCAAUUCCCUUGGCGGAGAUGAUGUGACCAAGAUGAAGAACUUCAUCAAGCCAGAACUCACAUUUGGAAAACUUCGCAUAGAAUUGAUGCUCUCUGAGCUUGUCGAGCACCAAUCGCAAAUGUUUGGCAUGAUCCUUCUUAUUCUUGGAGAAGACCAAGAUAUCAUCGAGAUACACCAGAACAAAUUCAUUGGUGUAGGGGUUGAAGAUAAAGUUCAUCAUGCGAGAGAACGUUGGAGGAGCAUUGACAAGGCCGAAAGACAUGACAGUAUAUUCAUAAGAACGAAAGCUUGUUCUGAAUGCUAUCUUGGGGAUAUCUUGUUCACGAAUGCGAAUCUGAUGAUAACCCAUACGAAGGUCAAGCUUGGAGAAGACUUUAGCACCUUUGAGUUGCUCGAAAAGCUCAUUGAUGUUGGGAAGUGGAUACUUGUUCUUGAUUGUCUUCUUGUUCAAUGGACGGUAAACGACACAAAGUCGGUCCGUGCCAUACUUCUACUGGACAAAAAGAACUCCACAACCCCAUGGGGAAGAACUCGGUCUGAUCAAACCCAGACGCUCUUGUUCAUCGAGCUGCUUCUUCAAUUCUUUCAGCUCCUUGGGUCCAAGCUUGUAUGUACGCUUGCAAACGGGCUCUGUACCAGGCUCAAGAUCAAUAACGAACUCGACUGGCCGAUGAGGAGGCAUACCCGGAAGCUCUUCUGGAAAGACAUCUUGAUACUCACAAAUGACUGGAAUUUGAGAAAUAGCAUCCAAUUCGCCCUUCUCAUUGAGAGAAAACAACCGAAUGGUUUCAUCAUGAGCGGCAUAGAUGAUAACAUCCUCAGAAGGGUGUGUCAAUUGAAUUUGCCUGGCAGCACAAUCAAGUUGAGCCUUGUGCUUAGAAAGCCAGUCCAUCCCAAGAAUUAGAUCAAUAUCAGAAUCGCCAAGAACAACUGGAGAAGACAGAAAUUUAUAGUCGCCCAUCUUGAUGGAAACAUCCGGAACCAUGUAGCUUGCUUUCAUGCUCUUAGUGGGAGAACAACUGCUAAUGGUCUAGGCAAUUCUUGGAAAGACAAAUCAUGCUUAGAUGCAAAUGGUCUUGAGAUGAAACUAAGUGAUGCACCAGUGUCAAAAAGAACUUUUGCAUGAAUAUCAUUAACAGGAAGAUUACCGAUGAUCACAUCUGAAGAAUCCUCUGCCUGAGCUGCAUUCAUCAUGUUCACCCUUGCAAACUUGGAAUUAUGCUUAACCACUGCAUUGCUUGAAGAUCUCACAGGAGGAGGAGGAGGAAGGCGCCUUUGAUUCAAGCAUUUGUUCGCGUAGUGGCCUUUCUGCUGGCACUUGUUGCAAGUCACUUCUAAGAGCGGACGGUGAUAAGGAGCACUUGACCUUGGAGCUUGAGGCUGAGACUUGUUCUGAUAGCUUGGGUUGGGUGGGUGGGAAGAUCCACGACCACCUGAGUUCUUCUGUUGGUAAGGCUGACGAAACAGAGGAGGAGGAAGAUAAAACUUCUGCUGCUUAGCUACCACUUGUGAGGAAGAAGAAGAUUGCACUGCAUCCAUGAUUCUCUUCUUAGAAGCCUCACACUUGAGCUGAGCACCUUCUUGCUUGAGUGCCAUAUUGUAGAAUUGAUCAAACUGAGUAGGCUCAACAAGAACGAGAGCUAACUGCAGAUCCUCUCUAAGGCCACCUCUGAACUGAUAGAUCAUACUUUUCUCAUCAGGAACAUCCUGCUUAGCAAAGCGAGCAAGUUCCUGAAACUGCUUGUUGUAUUCAUACACUGACAUGUUGCCUUGCUUGAGAUUGUGGAACUCCUCACGCUUGCUCUCAACAACACUGGUAGGAAUAUGGUGAGCUUUAAAGUCCCGACAGAAAUCAGUCCAAGUAAUCACUCGACCACCUCUGGAAUCCUUGUAUUGCUGGAACCAAUCAGCUGCCUGAUCCUUGAGCUGAAAAGAAGUGAACUUGACAUAGUCCUCAGGCCUGACAUUGCUGCAUUCAAAAUGCUUGUUGAUAUCCACGAGCCAAUCAUCGGCGUCCGUGGCCUCGACACAAUAGCUGAAAGACUUCGGCUGAUUUGCAAGGAAUUGGUUGAGGGUUGGAAACUGAGGCUGAUGAUUGAACUGCCCUUGACCUUGAUUCCCUUGGUUGCCUUGGCCUUGGUUGCGCUCUUGCAUGAGCUGGAUCAUCAUCUGAGCAUGGGCGUUAGAGGCUGCCAUCAAAGCUUGCCAUGCCUCCGGAGGCGAAGGUGGUGGUGGAGGGUUCGCCUAACUCCCAUCAUUGCGACCCGGAUUCUGACGCGUUGGCGGAGCCAUCUUGAAGAGGGUGACAUCCGUUAGCAUCUUGAUAGACAGAUAGACAAGUUGAAUCAAUCGGAUAGAAAUUGCAACAUAUAGUCUUCACAAUAAACAUUCGAACAAAGAUGAACGAAUGAAUUCCAAAGUAAACAUCACACGUCCAUUAAGGUGAGAAGCCACUUGAAUAUAUAUUGAUGAAUGAAAUAAACAAGGUACAACUGGAACAAAUAAGUGGUAAGGAUUACCCAAUCACAAACCAAAUAUCUGCGGGAAGAAAUGCUAGAGCUACUUGAAUCCCACCUAUAAACUCCCGAAACUUUCCGGUUAUGCAAUCAGGUGUUGGGGAUACAGGGGAAGCAAUAUAUCUCGCCCAAACUAACAAUCCCUACACCCAGUUGUAUCCAUCCGUCAACACAUAACCAAGAAACCUUCGGAAAUCAUGUACCUCAACCUUCGAAAAGCAUCCGUUAUACGAGUUAUGGCAAUACUCCCGAGCUCGCCCCAGUACUGGGUUAUCGGGGUUAUCUCACCAACAACUGCAUAAAAGAGAUUUUCGAUGUCGGCAAAACUCAGGUAUUCCAGAACUGCAACGAUAAAAUUGUGACGACAACACCUCAGAGCUCAACUCCCCAGGACACUGCCACAACCCCUAAAUGUCAGGAGGCACCAAGAACAAUGUUCUCGUCACAAAACCAUCGAAACGAUUCCAAGAUACCCGCGUGAUCCUAAAAAAAAUUUAGUGAAAAAUUUGAGAAGAGGAUAGUCAAAACAUCUACGUCAGGAGACCUCACCAGAGCGACGAAGGGACUGAGGAGUAAAAAGAAUCCUACUCUCCAAUAUAUAUAAUCCUAAGACUCAAAACAUUUUUGUUCUAGACUCAACAUCGCCAGCAAACAAUCAAGCAGGGGGCUCCUAAGUCGGGGAUGGCUCUGAUACCAACUUGUAACACCCACGAUGCGGCAAUAGCUCCCACGUGUCGAAGCAUGACUUAGAGGCAUAACCGCAUAGUAGUUUUGUCGCAAUAAGGGUCAUCUUCACACAAUCCCAUGUAAUGAACAGGAAUGGGAUAAAGAGAGUUGUCUUACAAUCUCCACUUCACACAAUACAUAAAUUAAGAUCAUACAUCAUUCAAAUACACUCAUAGACCGGCUACGGUCAAGUUCAAAAUAAAAGAAGACAACCCCAAAUGCUAGAUCCCCGAUCGUCCCGACUGGGCUCCUCUACUGAUCAUCUGGAAACGAAACAUAGUAACAACCAAGGGCCUCAUAAAAUUCCCACUUCAGCUCAGUUGCGCCAUCUGCGCUAGUAUCCUCGGCACCUGCAUCUGUUUUGGUAGAAUCUGUGAGUCACGAGGACUCAGCAAUCUCACACCCGCGAGAUCAAGACUAUUUAAGCUCAUAGGUAGGUAAGGGGUAAAAUGGUGGAGCUGCAGCAAGCACUAAGCAUAUAUGGUGGCUAACAUACGCGAGUGAGAGCGAGAAGAGAAGCAACGCAUCGGUCGAGAACUAGAAGUGAUCAAGAAGUGAUCCUGAAACUACUUACGUCAAGCAUAACUCAAACCGUGUUCACUUCCCGGACUCCGCCGAGAAGAGACCAUCACGGCUACACACACGGUUGAUGCAUUUUAAAGAGGUCAAGUGUCAAGUUAUCUACAACCGGACAUUAGCAAAUUCCCAUCUGCCUCAUAACCGCGGGCACGGCUUUCGAAAGAUUAUAUACCCUGCAGGGGUGCCCCAACUCAGCCCAUCACAAGCUGUCACGGUCAACGAAGGAAUAGACCUUCUCCCGGGAAGACCCGAUCCGUCUCGGAAUCCCGGUUCGCAAAACAUUUCGACAAUGGUAAAACAAGACCAGCAAAGCCACCCGAUGCGCCGACAAAUCCCGAUAGGAGCUGCGCAUAUCUCGUUCUCAGGGCACACCGGAUCGUCCAAACUUCCGGUAGGCCAGCCCAGAGUUGCCCCUGGUGGCCACCGGCGGCUUACAGGUUGGACCAACACUCACGACGAGCACUCGCCCGGGGGGGUAAAUAAAGAUGACCCUUGGGCUCGCGAAAACCCAAGGGAAAAGGGCUUAGGUGGCAAAUGGUAAAACCAAGGUUGGGCCUUGCUGGAGGAGUUUUAUUCAAAGCGAACUGUUAAGGGGGUCCCAUAAAUCACCCAACCGUGUAAGGAACGCAAAAUCAAGGAACAUAACACCGGUAUGACGGAACUAGGGCGGCAAGAGUGGAACAAGUCACCAGGCAUAAGGCCGAGCCUUCCACCCUUUACCAAGUAUAUAAGGUGCAUUAAUUUAAACAUGAGAUAUUGUGAUAUCCCAAAAUAUCCGUGUUCCGACCAGGAACAAACAUCAUCUUCACCUGCAACUAACAACGCUAUAAGAGGGGCUGAGCAAAAGCGGUGACAUAGCUAAACAACGGUUGCUAGGACAGGUUGGUUAGAGGGUUGACAUGGCAAUAGGUAGGCAUGGUAAACAAAGGCAGGAAGAGCUAACAUAGCGAUAGAUCGAGUACUAGCAAGCAAAAAUAGAAGUGAUAUCGAAGGUAUGAUCAUCUUGCCUGCAAGGUUCUCAGAGUUGUCGAAGGCUGGAUCCUCGUUAGCAUACUCAACAGGUUCCUCGUUCAUGUACUCGUCUCCCGGAUCUACCCAAAGCAAGAACACAGGCAAGGAACCACAAUAAAUCACGGUGCAAUGCACAGGCAUCAUGAUGCAAAACAUGUCAUGAUAUGCGAGAGGUGAUAUGCAAAGCGUAUGCGUGCUUCGGAAGGAAAGAUGAUGAACAAGGCAUCAACUUGGCAAACCAAGUAUGCCGCUGGAAAGAUGAGAUGAUUUCGGUUGGAAUCGAUAUAGAGAUCACUGGAUUCGGAUGCACGAUUUGCAAAAGACAAGCAAGACAAGAUAUGAUGCAAACAACAACAUGGCCACUUGGAUGCAAAGUAUGAGCAAGCUAUAGCACCCAAACAUAUGAACAAGAUGCUUAACAGUGAUGUACAGGAGAUGCGUUACGAAACAUGAACACUGAGCUCAACCUAAAAACCACUAGAGCAUGACUAAAAUAGCAUGGCAAUAUUGCAAGAGAUAACAGUUCUACAGACUUAGUGGAAUUACUAGACAUAGCAGAAACAGAUUCAUCAUGGCAUCUCUACAGGCUUGAUCAACUCAUUACCAGGCAUGUCAUGGCAUGGAACAAGUACUAGCAUGAAGUAGGCAUGACAAAGUAGCUACUCAUGUGCAAAACAAACAACUAGCAUAUUUGCAUGAACAAGCACAUAAGAGACAAAACAACAAUAAGAAGUGAGAUGGCAUGAUUAUGAACUUGCUCAAAUGCAGAAACUAAUGCCACCAAUGGAUUGGUGGGAUUUUUCUACCCCAAAAACAUAUAUAAUAUGUUUGGGUUGCUGUAGAAAAAUCAUCACAAAUGCACUAAGAUAAAACCUGCCUAAAAUGGUAAUUGAUAGAAAUGGCACUUUCCAUAGUUGGAAACGUCCAGAAUUGGACUUGCCCGAAAAGGACAGAUUCCACAUGCCAGAAAUGGAAUAUUUCCUGGGAAUCAAAAUAAAACAAAUAAUAAUAAUAAAAUAAAUAAAUAAAGAAAACAAACGGCUAAGAGAGGAUGACAGGUGGGGCCACCCUGUCAUACUCACAGUGCAAGAAAAGGAAAAAGGGGGGAGAAUAAACUGCACCCGCGGGGGAUCGAACCCGGGUCUCCCCGGUGUGGCUCUGCUACGGCAUCCACUGGGCUAGGUGGGUGGUUCUGAUAGGAAAGGGCUUUGGCUCCUUUUAGGUAAGCACCAGGUCGAGCCACUCUGUUUUCAAACAGAGAAGACGACGGCGCCGGUGAGGGAAACGGCGGCAAUCCAGCGGGCACAGGGACUCCGGCGGCCGUGCGGAAAGGGGAACGGACGCGUGCAUCUACGAGGGAAAGCAGGGGCGCUCGAGCUCGAGCAGUUGCUCGACUCGGGGCCAUGGCGUCCGUGGCGAGCGGCAGAGGAACUUGCCGGAGCUGCGGGAGGCUUGCAGGGCGCGCAUGAGGCGUAAACGAGUGCGCGAGCGCGCUACGGGAGCACGACGAGGGGGAACCAGAGCAGGGACAUGCACAACACGCAUACGGUUGCACCGCACUGCACCAACAAAUUCAGAAACGCCGGAGCACUGCGAGCGCGGGAAAGACAAGGAUCGGAUGCGAUCUAUGGGCUCCUACAUGCUAUGGGAAGGAUGGGAGAGGGAGGCGCGUUACCCAGCUCACCCAAGGACACGGAGUAGUCGACGGAGACGAGCUGCCGGCGACGAGGUGGAGCUCUGAAUCUUGGCGCGUUUUCUGACCGAGAGGAAGGAGGAAGCAGGGGACGUCGAUGAACUCGUCGUCCGGGCACCAUAGUCGACGUCGUGGAAGGAGACGACGGCGAGGAAGAAGAUGGACACGCACUGCGGGGUUUGGAGUGGCCGGAGAGCACGCCGGCGACGAGGCGCGCUCUCAGGUGCGCUCGGGACGGGGCGGAAGCGGCGGAUCUGGUGGCUAAACUCACCUGGAAACGACAGCGGCGAACGAGGGAAACCCUAGGCGACACGAGGGACACGGAAACUGGGGCUUAUGAGGGCUAGGGCGAGCGGUGCGAGCUCAUGCGCGCUCGUGCUCGCGGUCUCCAUGGCGACGGCGAAAGGAGAGGGAAAAGGUGGGUGCGGGAAACAGGGGAGGCGCUGACGAGCGGGGCCGAUCUACCCACGUGGCGAGGGACCAGCGGGGGUGACCGGUUGCGUGGGUGAGAAAAGUCAUGGAGGGGAGGACCGAACGGGCCGGUUGGCGCGAAGGCUGGGCUGCGCGGUUAGCUAGCUAGGCUGGCCUAGGAGACCGAGGCCCAGGGGGGGCUGCUGCGCUGGCUGCUGCUGCUGCUUCAUUUCUAUUUUUAAAAAUAGAAAUAGAAACAGAAAAGCUCAGGAAAAAGAGAGAGGAGUUAGAGCAUAAAGAAAAUACUCUCCAACUCCUGGAAUUAUCCACUAUUUUAAUAAAUUGCAUUGGGCAUUUUUAGAGGUAGAAAAAUAAGACAAGUUUGAAUUAUAUUCAAACUUGUGUCAUUUUUGAACCUGACCAAAACAACUUCAAAUAAGGAGAUCUUUGGCAGAGAGGUUUAGGGCAAGGAGCAAGAUUUAUAGGGAGAAGAUGAACAUUAAUAGAGAAGGAAAAAUAGCACUUGAUAAGAGAAGGAAGGAGAAGGAAGGAGGAUAAGUGAUGGUGCCAUGGUUGAAAAAAAGGGGGGGGACAAGGUCAUGCCCAUGAUGCUCAUGGCAUCAACAUGAAUGACAAAAUGCAACAUGAGAUGACAUGAGAUGAAAAUGCACUAUAUGAUGAUGACAAAAAGCACAAAUGCAAUAUGGCUAAAAGGAAUAUGACAAUGAAAAGAAUAAAACCACACAACCAAACAAGAUGAGGCCAAACAUGAUAAAACCCACAAGAAUUGGAUGAGGUCAAGUUGAUAUAUUGCCAAAUUGGGACAUGUUACAUCUGGGGUGUUACAAACCACCUCCUAGAUAAAUAAAAUCUAUGUCAUGUUGGUCGACAUAAUUGUCAUAAAUAAUAAAUGAACCAAAUAGUUAUCAAGAUAUAAUAUAUACCACAUCCGAAUCAUAGACAAGACGAGGGCCGACGGGGGCAGAUACCAAAACCAUCGCACUAUAUAAUAACAAGAAAUAAUAAAAGUAAGAAAAUUAGACAAGUAUCUAUCUGAAGUAAGAAUUUUUUUCUUUCAGAAAGAAGAUAAGGACAAGAGGCUCACCACGGUGGUGCCGGCGACGAGAUCGGCGCGGGCGAUCGACGGCGGUGAACACGGGGACAGGACGUGAUGGACUGCUAAACCUAGACAAAUCUCGGGGAAAAUGAAGCUCGGAGUUCGAGUUUCGACGAGAUCAGUCGGACAUUUCAUCUAACACCUCAUGUGCAUAGGAGGUGAGCUAGAGCACCCAAACGCCCUCCCCUUGCCGGCCAGAAAAAACAGAGCACUGUGGAGUGCUCUGCUGUGGCGAUGGGGUAUAUAUAGGCAACUCAUUUGUCCCGGUUCAAGCCACGAACCGCGACCAAUGGUUGUGGGCCAGGAGCAAGGACCAUUGGUCCCGGGUUCGUGCCAGGAACCGGGACAAAUGGGUCCAUACAAACCGGGACCAAUGCCCACGAGGCCCCGGCCGGCCCCCUGGGCUCACGAACCGGGACGAAUGCCCCCAUGGGUCCCAGUUCUUGACUGAACCGGGACUAAUGGGCUGGCCAGGCCCGAACGAUAGCCCUGUUUUCUACUAGUGGAUAGCAACGGAUUACCCUCUCCCGAGCCCCGAACAGUCUCCAGAUCAGCCCUCCCGAGGAAGAACAGGGCUUGGCGGCUGCUCUCUAUCGUAAAACGCGAUUAAUCCUUCUCCCUGAUUUUUUUUCUCCCCGAACGUGAAUAUAUGGAGUUGGAGUUGAGGUUGGUGAGGUCCAGGGAGCCCACGAGGUAGGGAGGCGCGCCCAGGGGGGUAGGGCGCGCCCCCCACCCUCGUGGAUAGGGUGUGGCCCCCCUUCGGUUGAUUCUUUCGCUAAUAUUUUUUAUUAAUUCCAAAAGUUAUCUCCGUUAAAUUUCAGGUCAUUCCGAGAACUUUUAUUUCUACACAAAAAUAACACCAUGCCAAUUCUGCUAAAAAUAGGAUCGGUCCGGGUUAGUUUCAUCCAAAUCAUGCAAAUUAGAGUCCAAAACAAGGGCAAAAGAGUUUGGAAAAAUAGAUACGUAGGAGAAGUAUCAUGGUGGCGCUCCGGGCGAAAGUCCAGCCCCGACCUUGGGUCGGUGCCUACAACGGGAGCACCAUGAUGUCGCUCCCUUUCUUUAAGGUCUUGUCAUGGAGCUCCAUUACACGACUCUCCGGGAGAAAUCCCUAGCUUCGGUUGUUCGAAGCGGGCGAUGACAACGGCUACGUUGUUUUCUUCUUUGCGGCCUAGCCUUGGAGAGUUAGCAUGUUAUAGUGUGCGCGGAUCUCUUCGUCGUCAGGGACAAUGAGCGUUGGGGUGGCGGCUCCGGAUGGUUUUCUGUUUGUGCGUCGAGAUGGCGAUCUCGGGAACAAUGGGAGUGGCAGCUCUAUGAGGUGGGGCUCUUCCUCGACAUUGGUUGGGUGGCAUUCUUGUCCCACUUAGGCGGUGGGGGUGUCGGCCCGGUCGAUGCGCCCCAGAGGGGGCGGUCUAACUUUACGUCAGGGCGGCCGAGGGAGUCCUGGACUAGGGGGUGUCCGGAUAGCCGAACUAUCAUCAUCGGCCGGACUCCAAGACUAUGAAGAUACAAGAUUGAAGACUUCGUCCCGUGUCCGGAUGGGACUUUCCUUGGCGUGGAAGGCAAGCUUGGCGAUACGGAUAUGUAGAUCUCCUACCAUUGUAACCGACUCUGUGUAACCCUAGUCCUCUCCGGUGUCUAUAUAAGCCGGAUGGCUUUAGUCCGUAGGAAAAAACAACAAUCAUACCAUUGGCUAGCUUCUAGGGUUUAGCCUCUUUGAUCUCAUGGUAGAUCUACUAUUGUAACACACAUCAUCAAUAUUAAUCAAGGAGGACGUAGGGUUUUACCUCCAUCAAGAGGGCCCGAACCUGGGUAAAACAUUGUGUCCCUUGUCUCCUGUUACCAUCCGCCUAGACGCACAGUUCGGGAACCCCUACCCGAGAUCCACCGGUUUUGACACCGACAUUGGUGCUUUCAUUGAUUGUUCCUCUAUGUUGUCACCGAUAGGCUCGAUGGCUUCUUCGAUCAUCAACAACGACACAGUCCAGGGUGAGACCUUCCUCCCCGGACAGAUCUUCAUAUUCGGUGGCUUUGCACUGCGGGCCAAUUCGCUUGGCCAUCUGGAGCAGAUCGAAAGCUAUGCCCCUUGCCAUCAGGUCAGAUUUGGAAGUUUGAACUUCACGGCUGACAUCCGCGGGGACUUGAUCUUCGAUGGAUUCGAGCCACAGCCAAGCACAUCGCACUGUCACAACGGGCAUGACUUAGCUCUGCAGCCGGACAGUAACCUGGAGGCCGCACUUCAAUUCGGAGCUGGCUGCGCAGAUCGAGGACGGAUGGUUAGACACUGCCUCGGGGGCUGCAACCUCUACGGCAAUAGAGCCGAACACUAAUCUUGUCCCUCAUAAAGCCCGUGACUCCGAGGCGCCGGACUCCUCGCCGAACUCCGAGCCUCCCGCGCCCCCUCCAAUCGAAUCCGGUUGGGAGCCGAUCAUGGAGUUCAUCGAUGUGGACAUAUUUCAACACUCACCUUUUGGCGACAUCUUGAGUUCGCUAAAGUAUCUCUCGUUAUCAGGAGAGCCCUGGCCGGACUGCGGUCAGGACGGUUGGGAUGCGGACGACGAAGAAAUUCAAAGCCCACCCACCACCCACUUAGUAGCCAUUGUCGACGAUCUAACCGACAUGCUAGACUACGACUCCGAAGACAUCGACGGUAUGGACGACAAUGUCGGAGACGACCAAGAACCAGCGCCUACCGGGCACUGGAAAGCCACCUCAUCAUAUGACAUAUACAUGGUGGAUAUCCCAAAGGAUGAGAAUGGCGAAGGAACGGCGGAGGAAGACCCCUCCAAGAAACAGCCCAAGCGCCGGCGGUCAGCGGCGCCGCUCUAAAUCCCGCCACAGCAAGAAUGAAGAUUCCGGCACCAGAGAUAAUAACACCCCAGACAGUGCCGAAGACAACCCCCUCCAGCAAGAUUCAGCACAGGAGGACGGAGACGCCAGCCCUCAUGAGAGAACGGCAGAAGAAGAGGUAGAGGAUUACAUGCCUCCCUCCGGAGACGAGGCAAGCCUCGACGACGACAAAUUCGUCGUGCCUGAGGAUCCCGUCGAACAAGAGCGUUUUAAACGCAGGCUUAUGGCCACGGCAAACAGCCUCAAGAAAAAGCAGCAACAGGUUAGAGCUGAUCAAGAUCUGCUAGCCGACAGAUGGACUGAAGUCCUCACGGCCGAAGAGCAUGAGCUCGAACGCCCCUCCAAAAGCUACCCUAAACGCAAGCUGCUCCCCCGAUUAGAGGAGGAGGCAUAUGAACCUGCAUCACCAGCAGACAAUACGGCUGACCGACCACCCCGUGGUCGCGACAAAGAGGCCUCUAGGCCCUUCACUAGAACCGUACCCCGGCAUUGCUCGAAAAGCACAAGGCCACAGGGGAACGCUCCGGACUUGCGAGAUAUAUUGGAGGAUAAGGCAAGACAAUCAAGAUCGAUCUACGGAUCGCGUGGGCGCCCCAUGAUACAUGACGACAACCGUCGCGUCGGACACAGUAAGUCCGGCCGGGCCGAACAAAAUAGACAAAGCUCUUUUGAGCUCCGUCAUGAUAUCGCCCAGUACAGAGGCGCCGCACACCCACUAUGCUUCACAGAUGAAGUAAUGGAUCAUCAAAUCCCUGAAGGGUUUAAACCCGUGAAUAUUGAAUCUUACGAUGGCACAACAGACCCCGCGGUUUGGAUCGAAGACUAUCUCCUUCACAUCCACAUGGCCCGCGGUGAUGAUCUUCACGCCAUCAAAUAUCUCCCACUCAAGCUUAAAGGACCAGCCUGGCAUUGGCUUAACAGCUUGCCAGCAGAGUCAAUUGGGAGUUGGGAAGACCUGGAAGUCGCAUUCCUCGAUAACUUCCAAGGCACGUAUGUGCGACCACCAGACGCUGACGACCUAAGCCAUAUAAUUCAGCAGCCAGAUGAAUCGGCCAGACAAUUCUGGACACGGUUCUUAACCAAGAAAAACCAAAUCGUCGUCUGUCCGGAUGCGGAGGCCCUCGCGGCCUUCAAACAUAACAUCCGCGAUGAGUGGCUUGCCCGGCACCUGGGACAGGAAAAGCCGAAAUCCAUGGCAGCCCUCACAUCACUCAUGACCCGCUUCUGCGCGGGUGAGGACAGCUGGCUAGCACACAGCAACAACCUCAGCAAAAAUUCUGGCAGUCCGGAUAUCAAGGACCGUAAUGGCAGGUCGCGUCGCAACAAAAACAAACGCCACAUUAACGGCGAUAAUAGUGAAGAUACGGCAGUUAAUGCCGGAUUCAGAGGCUCUAAACCCGGUCAGCGGAAAAAGCCAUUCAAAAGAACUACUCUGGGUCCGUCCAAUUUGGACCGAAUACUCGACCGCUCGUGCCAGAUACAAGGCACCCCCGAAAAGCCAGCCAACCACACCAACAGGUACUAUUGGGUAUUCAAGCAGGCAGGCAAGUUAAUUGGCGAAAACAAUGACAAGGGGCUGCAUAGCGAUGAUGAGGAAGAGACCCGACCGCCGAACAAUAGAGGACAGAAGGGUUUCCCCCCACAGGUGUGGACGGUGAACAUGAUAUACGCAACACAUGUACCUAAAAGGGAGCGGAAGCGUGCACUCAGGGAUGUAUACGCGAUGGAGCCAGUUGCCCCGAAGUUCAAUCCAUGGUCCUCCUGCCCGAUCACUUUUGACCAAAGGGACCACCCCACCAGCAUCCGUCACGGCGGAUUCACCGCAUUGGUUUUAGACCCAAUCGUCGAUGGAUUUCACCUCACCAGAGUCCUGAUGGACGGCGGCAGCAGCCUGAAUCUGCUUUAUCAGGAUACAGUGCGCAAAAUGGGCAUAGACCCCUCAAGGAUUAAAACUACCAAGACGACCUUUAAAGGCGUCAUACCAGGUGUAGAAGCCAAUUGUACAGGCUCAGUUACACUAGAAGUGGUCUUCGGAUCCCCGGAUAACUUCCGAAGCGAGGAGUUAAUCUUCGACAUAGUUCCGUUCCGCAGCGGCUAUCAUGCUCUGCUCGGACGUACCGUGUUUGCAAAGUUCAACGCGGUGCCGCACUACGCAUACCUCAAGCUCAAGAUGCCAGGCCCUCGAGGAGUCAUCACGGUCAACGAAAACACUGAACGCUCUCUCUGAACGGAGGAACAUAUAGCGGCUCUCGCAGCAGAAGUACAGUGCAACCUCUUAAGGCAAUUCUCGAGUCUGGCCGUUAAGCGACCGGACACGGCUAAACGCGCCCGGAGUAACCUACAACAAGAUCACCUGGCACGUUCCGAGCACGCGUAGUAGUGCGGCCCCAACCCCAGCCCCUGCAAAACGCCAAGACAAUACCAUGGGCAUUGGGAGAGGGGAACGACCACGAUAGGCCCAGAAUGCGGCUCAACCACACCAGGGGCUCUCAAGUGUGUCGUUCUUUUUUUCUUUUUCCUUUUUAUUUUUACCCACAGGACUCCGCUCAUCAGAGGCCCUCUCCGGCAGCAGACCUGCCGAACUCACGAUGCAACAGCCAGGGAAGGAGAAAGGCUACAACGAAUAUCCAGGUGGUCUCCAUUACGAGCAUUAAAUUUGUUUUAUACACCAUUCCGCAGCCUACCCCUUGAGGGGGACAUGUUUAAUAGUCCCAUCCCUUGCUUAUCGCACCAUUUGUAUCGUUCUGCAUUCACAGCAGUUUUUCGUGAAUAAGUAAUGCAGCACCUUUUUGCUUCCAAUUGCAUUUCUUUCUUAUACAUAUGUUCAUUUAUGACAUGUUGCAUCCGUACAUUUUGGUACGGCUAAAUACACCAGGGGCUUAUGUUUCCCGCAUCAUGGUGUGAUAAGUCCGAACACUUUCACAAGUGCGGCACCCCGAACUUAUAGCAUUAUAUGCAUCGGCUCCGAAUCAUGUCUUGGGUCAAUAGUUGGGUUUGCCCGGCUCCCAUGUUUUGGUACCUUACGUUCCGUUGCAUCGGCUAAGGUAGCACUGGGAGAACCACUGCGAUUGCGCCCCAGUUGAGCUGGGCGAGCGCCUUAGUGGAGAAAGCUAAAACUGACCGUCAUGAUAAGGCGAGAGCUGGUCGCUGUUCGAGUGGUUUUUUCCGAGUCCCUAAAGACUUAUGCCGCUUAGAGCGAGGAGCCGGCUUUGUCCGGCUCAGGCAUGGAUAGCGCCCCAAAUUCGGCCUUCCGGAUACUAGGGGCUUCGCCGAAAUUUAAAAUUAUAGAAUUCUAUGGCUAAGUGAGAGUGUUCAAGCAUUAUAAGUCCGGUUGCCUGGUUCGUUGUGUUGAGCGCCUCCCUAGAUGGACCCAAAAAUGGGAACAAGAGUGCUCAAAUUUAUCCCGAACACCCCAGCCCUCAUGGCAUGGGGGCUGAAGCCGACGACUUGCCAUCUCUCAGAUUUGAUAAACAGCCGCACAGAAGGUAAUAUUUUAAAUUAACAAGCGUUGCUUAGCGCAUAUGAACUAAGUUUUCAGCGCACAGGAUAACAAAAUGCGAGUCUACUCAAAUAUUACAUCUUUGGAGGACUCACCCGCAAAAAUGCGAGCACCCUUCAGGACACUCUUAUAAUACAUCUCGGGCGUGCGAUGCUCCUUGCCCUGCGGUGGCGCGUCCAUCACAAGUUUCUGAGCAUCCAUCUUGCCCCAUUGCACCUUUGCGCGGGCAAGGGCCCGACGGGCACCUUCAAUACAGGCGGAGUGCUUGAUGACUUCAACCCAUGGACACGCAUCCACCAGCCGCCGCACCAGGCCAAAGUAGCUCCCAGGCAUGGCCUCCUUAGGCCAUAGCCGAACUAUGAGGCCCUUCAUGGCCUGUUCGACCACCUUGUGGAGCUCGACCAGCUGCUUCAGCUGGUCGCUAAGGGGCACCGGAUGUCCGGCCUCAGCAUACUGAGACCAGAAGACCUUCUCCAUCGAUCUCCCCUCCUCGGCCCUGUAGAAAGCGGCAGCAUCGGAUACGCUGCAGGGCAGAUCUGCGAACGCUCCUCGAGAGCUCCGAAUUCGGGUAAGCGAUAGGUAAUUCACACUCACAUGCUUACUUUGCAUGAAAAAUGCCUUACCCGCCGCUAUGUUCUUCAACGCCUCGACUUCCUGGAGGGCCUUAUAGGCUUUUGCCUUAGCGGCUUUGGCACUCUCAAGAGUCGUUGCAAGCUCGGACUCUCGAGUCUUUGAGUCACGCUCCAAACUCUCGUGUUUUUCCACGAGAGCCUGGAGCUCUUGCCGUACCUCCGCCACCCGCGCCUCCUGCCUCUCUCGCUCGGUGCGUUCCGCGGCCGCAUUACGUUCGGCCGCGGACAACGCCUCCUUCAGGGUCGCCACCUCGCUUGUGGCCCCUGCAAUACCCACGUUAUCCUUGUCAUUCUUCUUGCAACCAAAAUCCUUUUCUGUAAGGUACAAUUUUAAUAAGGUGUUACUCACCUUCAUUGUCCUCGAGCUGCUUCUUGGCACGGCCGAGCUCGUUCUCGGACCGCUCGAGGCUUUGCUUCAAAGUAUUGACCUCCGCAGUCAGUGCGGCAGAGGUCAGCAGCACAGCCUGCAAUCCCAUAUUGACAUAUUUUUUAUGACUCCUGCGUAUAUCUUUUUAGAUCCUCAGUCCGUCUUUUCUUUCCGAACACCGAACCGAGCAUCAGGGGCUACUGUCUAUGCGGUACUAUUUUACAUAUAUCGAAAUUCUUACCUCAAAGCCUGUUAGAAGGCUGCUGCAGGCUUCGGUCAGCCUGCUCUUGGCGAGCUGAACCUUCUGAAUCACCGCACUCAUAACAGUGCGGUGUUCCUCUUCGAUGGAGGCGCCAUUAAGCGCCUCCAGCAAACUAUCCGGCGCCUCCGGUUGGACGGAGGUUGCCGGUGUCACGGUCUUGCCCUUCUUACGAAGGGGCCGCCCGCCGGACUCCGGAGCCACUAUGGGUUUCAGGGCCGAGUCCGGUGCAAAGUCCAGGAGGUUGUUCCGCGACACCACCGGGGCCUCCUCCUCCUGGUAGGUCCCCUCCCGGGAUCCCACCUCGUCAUCGUCCGCAUCACGGGGGGUGGAGGCGGUCGAAAGGGAAUCCAUAUCCGACGCACCCAAGGACCCGCUCGACGAAGCCGGAAGAUCAUCCUUGGGCGAACUGCAGGGUUGUACGCGGCAUUAGAAAGACACCAUGUGGCGAAAAGAAAAAUCAUGAAGUUAUUCGGGAGUCCGGAUACUUACGAUCUCGCCAGGGGCUUGGCCCUUGGGGGCCAAACCUCGUUGUCGUCGCCGGCGUUGGCAGAGCAGUCCGGGAGAAGAGUCCUUCCCUUCUUGGACCCUUCGGCCUCCCUCGUUGGGGAGGCCUUCCUUUUCUUUCCUCCCCCCGCUGGGGGAGAGGCUUUCUUCUUCUCCUCCUCACCUUUGUGGGAGGAGUCUGCCUCGGAGUCAUCAUCCGAUAACACCUGAAAACGGGAACUCUUCCGAGUGCCCGUGGCCUUCUUCUUGACCUUCUUCUCCGGCACCACGUGGGGUGCCAGAGCUAGCAGCCCCGUUAAGCGGGCGUCCGCUGGGUCCUCUGGUAAUGGGGCCGGACAGAUAGUCUGUUUGGCCUUCUCCAGCCAGUCCUGUCAAAGGAGAGGGAGUUUAGAUCCCGCAUAGAGUCAAACUAUGGAAAACAAGCGUCCCGUAAUGGGAAAAAUCGCUUACCUCGUCAGCUGGACGCUGCGAGCUGAAUCCGCGAUCUUCGGUAGAGGAUGCGGGGGCCUCGGCACCCUUAAACAACAGCCUCCAGACAUCUUCGUAUGUAGUGUCGAAGAGCCCGCUCAAAGUCUGGUGCUGCGCCGGAUCGAACUCCCACAUAUUGAAGCCCCGUCGUUGGCACGGGAGAAUCCGGCGGAUGAGCAUGACCUGGACUACGUUGACAAGCUUGAGCUUCUUGUCCACUAGCUUUUGGAUGCAGGCUUGGAGUCCGGUCAGCUCCUCCGAAUCACCCCAUGUCCGGCCACUCUCUUUCCAGGAGGUGAGCCGUGUGGGGAUGCCAGAUCUGAAUUCGGGGGCCGCUGCCCAUUCAGGGUCACGCUGCCCGAUUGCCACCCCUUAAUGGUUUCCACGAAAGUGCCCUCAAGCCAAGUAACGUUGGACAUCCUGCCCACCAUGGCGCCUCCGCACUCCGCUUGACUGCCCUUCACAACCUUCGGCUUGAUACUGAAGGUCUUGAGCCACAAGCCGAAGUAGGGCUGGAUGCAGAGGAAGGCCUCACACACGACAAUGAACGCCGAGAUGUUGAGGAUGAAAUUUGGGGCCAGAUCAUGGAAAUCCAGGCCGUAGUAGUACAUGAGCCCCCGGACAAAGGGAUGGAGUGGGAAGCCCAGUCCGCGGAGGAAAUGGGGAAGAAAUACUACCCUCUCAUGGGGCCUGGGGGUGGGGAUGAGCUCUCCCUCAUUGGGGAGCCGGUGCGCGAUGUUGCUGGACAAAUAUCCGGCGCUGCGCAGCUUCUGGAUGUGCCCUUCCGUGACGGAGGGGGCCAUCCACUUGCCUCCCGCUCCGGACAUAGUUGGAGAAGGUUGAGGUGAGAUGUGCGGACUUGGGCGCUGGAGCUCGAGUUCGCGGAGACGGAUAAGCCAAGGAGGAAGAAGGCGCAGGUAAAAGGGUUGGAUCUUUAUCCCCUUAUAUGGGCGGACAAAAACAUGUGUCCGCACCGGCCUGAUAAAACUCGCUUAUCACCCAAGUGCCGCAAUCAAUGGCGCGGUUGGGUUACCCACAUCCGUAUUGAUGGGAAUCCCGGAAUAAGGGGUACAAUAAAAACAAUUCGAGUAAAGGCUUGGUAGUGGUGUGACGUCACGCCACCAAAUACUUUAGCAGAUUGAACUUGUGUGAAUAUUAUUCUCUCUACGGUGGUACGUGGAAUUUAUUUUGCAGAGCCUGACACUAUCCUGGUGUUCACAAUCUUCUAUAAAUUAUUCGGAGGAGGAACCCGCCUUGCAAUGCCGAAGACAAUAUGCGCGCCGGACUCGUCGUCAUUGAAGCCUGGUUCAGGGGCUACUGAGGGAGUCCUGGACUAGGGGGUGUCCGGAUAGCCGAACUAUCAUCAUCGGCCGGACUCCAAGACUAUGAAGAUACAAGAUUGAAGACUUCGUCCCGUGGCCGGAUGGGACUUUCCUUGGCGUGGAAGGCAAGCUUGGCGAUACGGAUAUGUAGAUCUCCUACCAUUGUAAAUGACUCUGUGUAACCCUAGCCCUCUCCGGUGUCUAUAUAAACCGGAUGGCUUUAGUCCGUAGGAAAAAACAACAAUCAUACCAUUGGCUAGCUUCUAGGGUUUAGCCUCUUUGAUCUCGUGGUAGAUCUACUCUUGUAACACACAUCAUCAAUAUUAAUCAAGCAGGACGUAGGGUUUUACCUCCAUCAAGAGGGCCCGAACCUGGGUAAAACAUCGUGUCCCUUGUCUCCUGUUACCAUCCGCCUAGAUGCACAGUUCGGGACCCCCUACCCGAGAUCCGCCGGUUUUGACACCGACAGCGGCGGCCCCGGAUGUGGUGCGGCGUUCGUGGUCUGCGUGCAGUUGUCCUGCGUAGCAUGUGCUGCGGGUAGCUGUAUUGUGCGGCAUUGCUGCUCGAGGGCGAGUGCAGUUAUGCCGGGGCGGCAGCCCCGGAUGUGGUGCGGUGCUCAUGGUCUACGUGCGGCUGUACUGAGCAAUGUGGGCUGCGGGCAGCUACAUCAUGCGGCGUUGCUGCUCGACGACAGGCAGUGGGAUGUCGGGGCCGCGGCCCCGGAAGGCGGUGUUGGUUGAGUGCGCAGGGCGUAGCGGAGCAGUGGAUGUCGAGGCGGCGGCCUCGAGAGAUUUGCAGCUUCGAAGACAUGGACCUUGUGUCGUGUUGGCGACGUGGUUGUUAUCGGUGUUGGUCAUGGGUGGGCAUUGCCCUGUGUUUUAGUCUUUGGGGUGGACUUGGCUCUUGUUGUUUCUAUUUUCGCCCGGUUUUCCGUAAUUAACUGGGCAAUUCUCUUCUGCUUAAUUAAUCGAUAAGGCAAUCUUUGCCUUCGUUUCAAAAAAAUAUAUGAUAUAUUUCUUGAUCUAGAUUAUUAAAAUUCAAAAAAAGUUGAUUUGUCUGAAAUAUUUACAUACAUUUCUUACCUAUAUUUUAUUUUAUCUAGAUUUUCAAAUUUAAAAUUAUUCAAAUUCAAACAAAACAAUUCAUUGAUUUGUCCAAAAGAAUUUACUUACAUUCAAUCUACACUAUAUUUUCUUUUAUCUAGAUUUUUAAUUUAAAUUUAUUCGAAUUCAAACAAAAAUUUAGUUCAUUUGUCCAAAAACAAAUAUGCAUAUUCAUUAUGCAGUAAUAUUUGACUUUAUCUAGAUUUUCAAAUUUAAAAUUAUUUGAAUUCAAACAAACAAUUAGUUGAUUUGUUUGAAAAGUUUAUCAAGAAUAUAAGUUGUUUUCUUAUAUAGAAAACUCUUUCUUUUUUCUAUAUAAGAAAACAACUUAUAUUCUUGACCACUCUAACUGUCAUUGUGGUCCCGUUGGCGCCCGCGUACGCGGAGAGUUUAUCAGGAGGUCAUAGGUUCGAACAGGGGCAUCCCCUUCUUUGCACACAUGGUUAUGUAUGCGAGGCGAAUCUCAGCAGGCGUAGCUUCCAUUCCUAUCCCUGAUUCAAUUUUUUUUAAAGGAUGUUCAACGUAAAUAAAUUAAAUACAAGGGUGCUUUGGAAAAAAAUGCAUGUGGAUUAACCACCGCCUCAGCCAUUGACAAUGGGCCGCCACCACGUUAGCACGCCUAGCGCGUACGGGAUAUGGCUGGAUACGGUAGAAAGCACCUUGUAUGAACGAGAGGAAAAAUUUGAUGGCUAGAAACACGUAUUUUGCAAGGUUCUACACCAAACUGCCUGUCAAGUGCAAGUUCCAUGACACCCGGUGUAUUUACCUCAAGGCAAUUCCUUCAUGUAUUUAUGGCGUGUUUGGUUGCAGUAGUGAACAGUAGCUGCAUUGCAUACACAUCUCAACCCAGCUUGCCUCUGGAAAAACAGCCUCAUAUGCGACAUAUGCAAGUUGUUUGGUGGCCUCCAUAUGGACUUCCUCCAUAGGGGAUCAACUUUGCCACGUUGUUUGGUUGCAUGCAUUGUCUCGGCGCAUACAAGUACACGUUGUUUUGUUGCCCGUACGGGGUAUGAUUAAGAGCUAGCACUUGCACUUAGCACACAGGGUUAAAAGCUAGCAGAGGAAGGGGGAUAAGAAAUGCAGUGUGCGCCUGACCAUGACGACUGCGGUGGACAUUGACCGGGGCGCCGUGUCCGACAUGACGAGCACGAAGUCAUGGGCAAGCUACCCCGUUGGCGAACUAGCUAGAGUGCUCGUGCAAAGACAGUGGACAGAGGAGGACGCCAUGGCAUUGUCAAUGUAGUAGGACGAGAGAGAGGAGCUGAGAUGAUUGACGCUGAAAAUGACUCCAGUGUAGUAGGACGAGAAAGAGGGGGCCGGAAGGAGGCCAAGAUGAUCGACCCGUCGGUGGCAAAGAAUAGAGGAGAAGAACCACGUCAGUGUGCGCGCCAUGGUGACUUAACUACAAUAGGAUAAUGAAGAGAAGGCCGAGAUGAAUGACGGCGAUGAUGAUGCUACCACAUCAAGACGCGAGAGAGGAGAUAGAGAGAAACCACGCCGGCUAGAGGAAUAAUUAAGAAGUGUCUUAAAUCGCAGCACACAUAUCCAUAUGUACACCCAUGAAAAAUAUGUAGAUAUUCUCGUCUACGAUCAUCGAAACAGGAAACUUGCAACACGAAUGUUGUGCAGAACUGCGAGAUUAGGCUGCCGGUCAAAGGAAAUUUCAAACAAUCGAUCAUGCACGAUGAAUCUGACAAAAUUCGUCGAAAACUGCUCCAAACGGGAAGAAGAAAUUGAGCAUGUACGGUCGACGAAACUAUAAAUUGAUGGCCUGAAUGGAACCAUAGCAUCGAUAUGCAUCUUUUCCGUGUAGAGCUUACCUCGAAUAGAAGCACCGUUGUGUAGAUUAGAGGGACAUGGAAGAGAGGAGAUUAGAGAGCAGCUUAAUGGAGAUGGAAGAAGACACCACUUAAACACCUCUCAUCCUUCCCAUCCCCACUCGUGCAAGGGCCCGCUCACUUACGCUCGCCUAGGCCUAGCUCGCAAGAAACUGCCGAUCUGAGCGUUUUCCAGCGAGCCAGGGCAGAGGCGCUUUAAGUUUCGUGCUAUGCAGGCCCUGUUGGGGAAUGUAGCAAAAAUUCAAAAUUUUCUACGCAUCACCAAAUCAAUCUAUGGAGUGACUAGCAACGAGAGAGAGGGGAGUACAUCUUCUUACCCUUGAAGAUCGCGAUACGGAAGCGUUGCAAGAACGUGGAUGAUGGAGUCGUACUCACAGCGAUUCAAAUCGCGGAAGAUCCGAUCUAGCGCCGAACGGACAGCACCUCCGCGUUCAACACACGUACAGCCAGGGGACGUCUCCUCCUUCUUGAUCCAGCAAGGGGAAAGGAGAAGUUGAGGGAGAACUCCGACAGUACGACGGCGUGGUGGUGAUGGAGCUCGUGGUUCUCUGGCAGAGCUUCGCUAAGCACUACGGAGGAGGAGGAAGUGUUGGAGAAGGGAGGGGCUACGCCAGGGGAAGGUUGUGGCUGCCCUCCCACCCCCUCACUAUAUAUAGGGGGAGGGGAGAGGGGGACGACCCCUCUAGAUGGAUCUAGAGGGGGCCGACCCCUCUAGAUGGAUCUAGAGGGGCCGGUUGGCGGCCAGGGGAAACCCUAGAUGGGUUUGGGCGCCCCCACCCCCUAGGAAACUUGCCCCCCAAGCCGGGAGGGGUGGCUGCCCUAGGAGUGGCGCCCCUACCUCUCCAGGUUACGUGAGAUGGGGUGGGAGGGGCGUUCAGCCCCUUAGUGGACUGAUGUGCCCCUCCCCUUGGCCCAUAAGGCCCCCAACACUUGUUGGGGCCUCCGAAACCCCUUUCGGACACGCUGGUCAUCACCUGGUACCCCCGGAACAAUUCCGGACUCCAAUAUCCUUCAUCCAAUGUACCAAUCUUCACCUCCGGACCAUUCUGGAGCUCCUCGUCACGUCCGGGAUCUCAUCCGGGAUUCCGAACUACCAUCGGUAACCACAUACUAUUUCCCAUAACAACUCUAGCGUCACCUAACCUUCAGUGUGUAGACCUUACGGGUUCAGGAACCAUGUAGACAUGACCGAGAUAUCUCUCCGGCCAAUAACCAACAGCGGGAUCUGGAUACCCAUGUUGGCUCCCACAUGUUCCACGAUGAUCUCAUCGGAUGAACCACAAUGUCGAGGAUUCAAGCAAUCCUGUAUACAAUUCCCUUUGUCAAUCAGUAUGUUACUUGCCCAAGAUUCGAUCAUCAGUAUCCCAAUACCUCGUUCAAUCUCGUUACCGGCAACUCACUUUACUCGUUCCGUAAUGCAUGAUCCCGUGAUUAACUACUUAGUCACAUUGAGCUCAUUAUAAUGAUGCAUUACCGAGUGGGCCCAAAGAUACCUCUCCAUCAUACGGAGUGACAAAUCCCAGUCUCGAUUCUUGCUAACCCAACAGACCCUUUUGGAGAUACCUGUAGUGCACCUUUAUAGCCACCCAGUUACUUGUGACGUUUGGUACACCCAAAGCAUUCCUACGGUUCUCGGGAGUUGCACAAUCUCAUGGUCUAAGGAAAUGAUACUUGACAUUAGAAAAGCUCUUAGCAAACGAACUAUAUGAUCUUGUGCUAUGCUUAGGAUUGGGUCUUUUCCAUCACAUCAUUCUCCUAAUGAUGUGAUCCCGUUAUCAAUGACAUCCUAUGUCCAUGGUCAGGAAACCAUAACCAUCUAUUGAUCAACGAGCUAGUCAACUACAGGCUCACUAGGGACAUGUUGUGGUCUAUGUAUUCACACAUGUAUUACGGUUUCCAGUUAAUACAAUUAUAGCAUGAACAAUAGAAAAUUAUCAUGAACAAGGAAAUAUAAUAAUAACCAUUUUAUGAUUGCCUCUAGGGCAUAUUUCCAAUAGUCUCCCACUUGCACUAGAGUCAAUAAUCUAGUUCACAUCAUUAUGUGAUUGUAUUGAAUCCAACACCCAUGGUGUUUGAUCAUAUUGCUUGUGAGAGAGGUUUAUUAGUCAAUGGGUCUGAACCAUUCAGAUCUGUGUGUGCUUUACAAAUAUCUAUGUCAUCUUGUAAAUGCAGCUACCAGGCGCCACUUGGAGCUAUUCCAAAUAACUGCUCUACUAUACGAAUCCGGUUUACUACUCAGAGUCAUCCGGAUUAGUGUUAAAGUUUGCAUCGACGUAACCCUUUACGACGAACUCUUUUACCACCUCCAUAAUCGAGAAAAUCCCUUAGUCCACUAGUUACUAAGGUUAAGUUUGACCCUGUCAUGUGAUCCAUUCCUGGAUCACUCUUGUACCCCUUGAUUGACUCAUGGCAAGGCACACUUCAGGUGCGGUACUCAGCAUAGCAUACUGUAGAGCCUACGUCUAAAGCAUAGGGGACGACCUUCGUACUUUCUCUCUCUUCUGCCGUGGUUAGGUCUUGAGUCUUACUCAAUACUCACACCUUAUAACACAGCCAAGAACUCCUUCUUUGCUGAUCUAUUUUGAACUCCUUCAAAAUCUUUUCACGGUAUGUAUUCAUUUGAAAGUACUAUUAAGCAUUUUUUAUCUAUCCUUAUAGAUCUUGAUGCUCAAUGUUCAAGUAGCUUAAUCCAGGUUUUCCAUUGAAAAAUACUUUUCAAAUAACCCUAUAUGCUUUCAAGAAAUUCCAUAGCAUUUCUGAUCAAUAAUAUGUUAACAACAUAUACUCAUCAGAAAUUCUAUAGUGCUCCCAUUCACUUCUUUGGAAAUACAAGUUUCUCAUAAACUUUGUAUAAACCCAAAAUCUUUGAUCAUCUCAUCAAAGCAUAUAUUCCAUCUCCGAGAUGCUUACUCCAGUCCUUAGAAGGAUUACCGGAGCUUUGCAUACUUGUUAGCAUCUUUCAGGAUUGACAAAACCUUCUGGUUGUAUCACAUACAACCUUUCCUCAAGAAAAUCAUCGAGGAAACAAUGUUUUGACAUCCUACCUGCAAGAUUUCAUAAAUAAUGCAGUAACUGCUAAUAUAAUUCCAACAGACUCUUAGCAUCACUACGAGUUAGAAAGUCUCAUCGUAGUCAACUCCUUGAACUUGUCAGAAACAUCUUAGCGACAAGUCGAGCUUUCUUAAUGGUGACACUUACCAUCAUUGUUCGUCUUCCUUUUAAAAUCCAUUUGUACUCAACAGCCUUACGACCAUUGAGUAGUUCUUCCAAAGUCUAUACUUUGUUUUCAUACAUGGAUCCUCCCUCGGAUUUUAUGGCCUCGAGCCAUUCAUCGAAAUCCGAGCCCACUAUCGCUUCUCCAUAGCUCGUAGGUUCAUUGUUGUCUAGCAACAUGACCUCUAAGACAGGAUUACGUACCACUCUGAAGUAGUACGCAUCCUUGUCGACCUACGAGGUUUGGUAGUGACUUGAUCUGAAGUUUCAUGAUCACUAUCAUUAGCUUCCACUUCAAUUGGUGUAGGCGCCAUAGGAACAACUUCAUGUGCCCUACUACACACUAGUUGAACUGAUGGUUCAAUAACCUCAUCAAGUAUCCACCAUCCUCCCACUCAAUUCUUUCAAGAGAAACUUUUCCUCGAGAAAGGACCCGUUUCUGGAAACAAUCACUUUUGCUUCCGGAUCUGAAUUAGGCGGUAUACCCAACUAUGGUGUUACAGGCGGUAUUAGUUAUGAAACAAUUUCCACAAGGUCUUAAUUGUGUACCAAACUCGUAACUCAGAUAUUCAUCUCUAUGAUCAUAUCAUAGACAUUUUAUCCUCUUCGCACGAUGAUCUUCAACUUCACUCUGAAAUUGCUUGAACCUUUCAAUAAUUCAGACUCGUGUUUCAUCAAGUAAAUAUACUCAGAAUCUACUCAAAUCAUCUCUGAAGUAAGAGCAUAAGGAUAUUCACUGCAUGCCUCAGCACUCAUUGGAUUGCACACAUCAAAUGUAUUACUUCCAACAAGUUGCUCUCUUGUUUCAUCUCAUUGAAAAAUGAGGCCUUUUAGUCAUCUAGCCAAUGUGGUAUGAUUUGCAUGUCUCAAGUGAUUCAAAAUCAAGUGAGUCCAAACAAUCCAUCUGUAUGGAGUUUCUUCAUGCAUAUAUACCAAUAGACAUGGUUCGCAUGUAUCAAUCUUUUCAAAACGAGUGAGUCCAAAGAUCCAUCAACAUGGAGCUUCUUCAUGCGUUUUAUACCAGUAUGACUCAAAUGGUAGUGCCACAAGUAUGUGGUACUAUCAUUACUAUCUUAUAUCUUUUGGUAUGAACAUGUGUAUCACUAUGAUCGAGAUUCAAUAAACCAUUCAUUUUAGGUGCAAGACCGUUGAAGGUAUUAUUCAAAUAAACAAGUAACCAUUAUUCUCCUUAAAUGAAUAAUCGUAUUGCGAUAAAUAUAAUCCAAUCAUGUCUAUGCUCAACGCAAACACCAAAUAACAAUUAUUUAGGUUUAACACCAAUCUGAUGGUAGAGGGAGCAGGCGAUGCUUGAUCACAUCAACCUUGGAAACACUUCCAACACACAUCAUCAUCUCACCUUUAGCUAGUCUCUGUUAAUUCCGUAGCUAUUUUAUUUCGAGUUACUAACACUUAGCAACCGAACCGGUAUCUUAAUACCCUGGUGCUACUAGGAGUACUAGUAAAGUACACAUUUAAUACAAUGUAUAUCCAAUAUACUUCUGUCAACCUUGCCAGCCUUCUCAUCCACCAAGUAUCUAGGGUAGUUCUGCUUCAGUGACCGUUCCCUCAUUACAGAAGCACUUAGUCUCGGGUUUCGGUUCAACCCUGGGUUUCUUCACUAGAGCAGCAACUGAUUUGUCGUUUCAUGAAGUAUCCCUUCUUGCCCUUGCCCUUCUUGAAACUAGUGGUUUUACUAACCAUCAACAAUUGAUGCUCCUACUCGAUUUCUACUUUAGCGGUGUCAAACAUCGCAAAUACCUCAAGGAUCAUCAUGUCUAUCCCUGAUAUGUUAUAGUUCAUCACGAAGCUCUAAUAGCUUGGUGGCAGUGACUAUGGAGAACCAUCACUAUCUCAUCUGGAAGAUUAACUCCCAUUCGAUUCAAGUGAUUGUAGUACUCAGACAAUCUGAGCACAUGCUCAAUGAUUGAGCUUUCCUCCCUUAGUUUGCAGGUUAAGAAACUUGUCAGAGGUCUCAUACCUCUUGACGUGGGCACGAGCCUGAAAUCCUAAUUUCAGCUCUUGGAACAUCUCAUAUGUCCUGCGACGUUUCAAAAAUGUCUUCGGUGCCUCAAUUCUAAACCGUUUAACAUUAUGCACUGAACUAUCAUGUAGUCAUCAAAACGUGUAUGUCAGAUGUUCGCAACAUCCACAAACGACGCUCGAGGUUCAGCACACCGAGCGGUGCAUUAAGGACAUAAGCCUUCUGUGCAGCAAUGAGGAAAAUCCUUAGUAUACGGACCCAGUCCGCAUAAUUGCUACUGUCAACUUUCAACUAAAUUUUCUCUAGGAACAUAUCUUAAAACAGUAGAACUAAAGCGUAGGCUACGACAUAAUUUGCAAAGACCUUUUGACUAUGUUCAUGAUAAUUAAGUUCAUCUGAUUAUUUAAUGAACUCCCACUUAGAUAGACGUCCCUCUAGUCAUCUAAGUGAUACAUGAUCCGAGUCAACUAGGCCGUGUCAGAUCAUCACGUGAGACGGACUAGUCAUCAUCGGUGAACAUCUUCAUGUUGAUCGCAUCUGCUAUACGACUCAUGUUCGACCUUUCGGUCUCUUGUGUUCCGAGGCCAUGUCUGUACAUGCUAGGCUCGUCAAGUCAACCUAAGUGUUUUGCAUGUGUAAAUCUGGCUUACACCCGUUGUAUGCGAACGUUAGAAUCUAUCACACCCGAUCAUCACGUGGUGCUUCAAAACAACGAACCUUCGCAAUGGUGCACAGUUAGGGGGAACACUUUCUUGAAAUUUUAUGAGGGAUCAUCUUAUUUAUGCUACCAUUGUUCUAAGCAAAUAAGAUGCGAAAACAUGAUAAAAAUCUCAUGCAAUCAAAUAGUGACAUGAUAUGGCCAAUAUCAUUUUGCUCCUUUUGAUCUCCAUCUUCGGCGCGCCAUGAUCAUCAUCGUCAUCGGCAUGACACCAUGAUCUCCAUCAUCGUGUCUUCAUGAAGUUUUCUCGCCAACUAUUACUUUUACUACUAUGGCUAACGGUUUAGCAAUAAAGUAAAGUAAUUACAUGGCGUUAUUCAAUAACACGCUGGUCAUACAAUAAAUUAAGACAACUCCUAUGGCUCCUGCCGGUUGUCAUACUCAUCGACAUGCAAGUCAUGAUUCCUAUUACAAGAACAUGAUCAAUCUCAUACAUCACAUAUAUAUCAUUCAUCACAUCCUUUUGGCCAUAUUACAUUACAUGGCAUAUGCUGCAAAAACAAGUUAGACGUCCUCUAAUUGUUGUUGCAAGUUUUUACGUGGCUGCUAUAGGUUUCUAGCAAGAACCUUUCUUACCUACGCCGAAACCACAACAUGAUAUGCCAAUUGUUAUUUACCCUUCAUAAGGACCCUUUUCAUCGAAUCCAAUCCAACUAAAGUGGGAGAGACAGACACCCGCUAGCCACCUCACUACUAGAAAAAGGGUUAUAGAUGUGAUUGACACUAAUGGCGCACCAGACAAGUGGUGCGCCAUUAGUAUAUACUAAUGGCGCACCACCUUCUGAUGCGCCAUUAGAGUUGAAACUACUAAUGGCGCACCUGGCACACGGUGCGCCAUUAGUAUCAAUUUUUUUUUGAACUAGUGCGCCUGUCCAAACAUACUAAUGGCGCAUCCACAGGCAGUGCGCCAUUACUAGUUGUAACUAGUAAUGGCGCACCUGCCAGAGAGUGCGCCACUAAUGUUGUUUUUUUGUUUUUUUAUUCCUUUUUUUGCAAAACUACUAAUGGCGCACUCGCACGCGGUGCGCCAUUACUAGUUUAAACUAGUAAUGGCGCACCGUGGUGUAGUGCGCCAUUAGUAUGUUUUUUUUGCAAAACUACUAAUGGCGCACCACCAGGGGGUGCGCCAUUAGUAACCUGGAUUACUAAUGGCGCAUUUGUGGUUGGUGCGCCAUUAGUAAGUGGGGAGCAACAAGAUAUUUUGGACAGCCUCUCCUCCCACACUCACUUUCUCCCCACUUCAUUCUCUCCACCGCCUCCUCCUUGUCUCGGGUGCCUCCUCUUUUUCACCUCAUUUCCACCAUAAAUUGAUUCAAAUUAAGUGGUUAAGUUACCUUGUUUUGCUAGGUAAGUAAGGUCGGAAGCUAUAUUUAUGUUGUUCUCCCUACAACAAUGUGCACAUGCACUUUUUAUGGCCUAGCUAGAUCUAUGUAUGUUCGUGGUGUUGCAUAUGUUUGUGGUUUUGCAUAUGUGUUUGUGUUUGGAGGUGUACCGGUAUUUGAAAUGCGAUAGUUGCCAAUAUUUUGCCGGAAUGUUGAUUCAUUUCCGUUUCGGCGAGAAUUUUGGCAUUAAGCAUUCUUUUUGGUCCUAUUUUUAGGGAAAGUCAUGCCAAUUUUUUUCUUGGUUCUAAAAUAUCGUUUUGCUCUACCCCGCAGGCGACCAUGGUCCGCACGAUGACCGAAGGCAUCGUGAAUAGGUUUUUGAGGUCCGCGAAGGCCGAGAUGCUUCAAAAGAACGAGACGGAGAUAAGAUGUCCGUGUCAAAGAUGCAAGCUGAAUAGCCUUAUUGCGGACCCGGAUUCCGGGCAGGUGCGGGACCACCUGCUCUUGCGUGGUUUCAUGGAUGGCUAUCGGUGGCAAGGUGAUGAAGAUGACUACAAAGUCGUCCAUGGGGGCCGGGCAAGAAAUGAGGAAGGGCAGCAAGACAACCACCGUUGCUCGGGCGGGCGAGAAGACGAAGAAUCCCCAGGAGAUGAUCACGACGGUGAUGCUGUACACAGUCAUCAUGUAGAAGAAGAUGCAGGAUAUGAUGAUGAUGCUGGCGGAGAAGACGAAGCUGGACCAUCGAUGGGCUGGGUGCAGGACCCUCAUAUUCAAGAGCUGCUUCUCAAGCAGACGGAUAACGCAAGAGCUGCCGCCCGAGAGAAAGCCAAGAUGGAUCAACUUGAGUUAGACGCGGUUACUCCAUUGUAUGAAGGAUGCAGGCCCGAGGAUACCCUCCUGAAAGUAACGCUCAUGGCUCUGGAGAUGAAGGUAAAACACAAAAUGACCGACGCAUGCUUCGACGAGAACAUGUCAUUCUGGCACGAACGUCUUCCCAAGGGGAACAAGUGCCCGACCAGUUUGGAGGAGGCGAAGAAAAUCAUGUGUCCUCUGGAUUUACCGCACGUGAAAUACCAUGUGUGCAUGAACAAUUGCAUCAUUUAUCGGGACGAGCACGCGGAGUCUACCAUAUGUCCGGUGUGCGGUGUCACUCGAUACAUGAAGAGGAAGAAAGCUCCUCGAAAAGUGGUGUGGUACUUUCCGAUCACUCCUCGUCUGCAGUGGUAUUUCGCGGACCCUAAGGUAGCAAAGCUCCUGCGUUGGCACGUGGAUAGGGAGGAGAAGAAGCGAGAAGAUGACGCAAAUGAUCCGGAGAUAGAUAAAAAAGACAAGAUGCUGAGUCACCCUAAGGAUGCGAGCCAGUGGCAAGCGUUGAACUUCGAAUACCCAGAAUUUGGGAACGAUAGAAGGAACAUCGUGCUGGGCGCGAGCACCGAUGGAGUCAAUCCGUUUGGCAGCCAGAGAAGCACACAUAGCACCUGGCCUGUGUUCGUGUGGAUGUACAACCUUCCCCCCUGGUUGUGCAUGAAGAGGAAGUACAUUCACAUGAGUAUGCUAAUUGAAGGGCCGAAACAACCAGGGAACAACAUCAAUCUGUAUCUGGGGCUGCUGAAAGAGGAGAUUGACACGCUGUGGAAAACGCCAGCCAAUACGUGGGACGCUGCAGAGAAAGAGUAUUUCCCUAUGAGAGCCGCACUGCUCACGACGGUGCACGACUAUCUCGGUUACGGAUAUCUUGCGGGGCAGGUAGUCCACGGAUUUUCUGGAUGCGUAAGGUGCAUGGAUGACACAACGUAUCGCCAGCUAGAUAGAGAUCCCGGGUCUUCGAAAACCGUGUUCAUGGGACAUCGAAGGUGGCUUCACGACGAUGACCCGUGGAGGAAACACAAGGAUCUGUUCGAUGGUGAAACCGAACCCCGAAAACGCCCGUGUACGAGGAGCGGCGAGGAAAUAGACAAGCUGUUGAAAAAUUGGAAAGACUGCCCACUGCCGGGAAAGAAGCAAAAGGCGCCAGAGCCGCUGCUGAAGGUAUGGAAAACGAGGUCUGUUUUCUGGGACUUGCCGUACUGGAAGAUCCACCAUGUGCCUCACAGCCUUGAUGUCAUGCAUAUCAUGAAGAACGUGUGCGAGAGUCUGCUUGGUACCCUACUCAACAUGCCAGAGAGGACCAAAGAUGGGCCGAAAGCAAGGGCAGACUUGAAAUCAAUGGGCAUCAGGCAGGAGCUUCACGCUAUAUAUGAUGAUGAUGAUGAUGAUGAUGAUGAUGAUGAUGAGGCGAAGCAGGACACAGAAAGUCGUCGCAAAGGCAAAAAGGCCAAGAAGACCGGAAAUGACUACCAUCCCGCGUGCUUCACUCUAAGUCAGGAGGAGAUCGAACAGUUUUUCACCUGCCUCCUAGGAGUAAAACUUCCUUAUGGUUACGCGGGGAAGAUAAGCAGAUACCUAGACCCAGCGAAGCAGAAGUUCAGCGGGAUGAAGUCUCACGACUGUCACGUGCUGAUGACGCAGAUACUUCCAGUUGCAAUCCGUGGGAUCAUGGACGCGCACGUCCGUGAAACACUAUUUGGCCUAUGCAACUUCUUCGACGUCAUCUCUCGGAAGUCGAUUGGCGUGAGGCAACUCAGAAGGCUACAGGAAGAGAUCGUGGUGAUACUAUGCGAGCUUGAGAUGUACUUCCCGCCCGCAUUCUUCGAUGUUAUGGUGCAUCUGCUGGUCCAUAUAGUGGAGGAUAUCAUCCAACUCGGGCCGAUGUUCCUGCACAGCAUGAUGUCGUUCGAAAGGAUGAAUGGUGUCAUCAAAGGAUACGUCUGCAACAUGUCACGUCCAGAGGGAAGCAUAGCCAGGGUCUUUCUGACCAAAGAGUGCAUCUCCUACUGCACGAAUUAUCUAGGCAUCGAGAACCCCGUUGGUCUGCCCGUCAACAGGCACCUCGGCAGGCUCGCUGGAUGGGGUCACCGUGAGGGUCGCCGCGAAAUGCAUGUCGACUUCGAGGGUCGACUCGCCGACUUUGAAAGAGCAAACCUAGUCGCGCUACAACACAUAGACGUGGUCGAUCCUUGGGUGGUAGAGCACAAAACCUUUAUUAAGAAGACGUACAAUGGCCGAGGCCAACAGAGUACGGGCGGAGAUAUACUCAAAGAGCACAACUCAUGUUUCACGCGUUGGUUCAAGCAGAAGCUUCUGUCGUACCCUUUACAUGAGGAUUCUUCCGCGGAAGAACAACUCAUAUUCGCCUUGUCACAGGGCACCGAGCAUAACCUGAUGACCUAUGAGGCGUACGAUAUCAACGGCUACACAUUCUACACCGAGGCCAAGGACAUGAAGAGCGAUGGUUAUCAGAACUCCGGGGUAACGAUGGAAUCCUACACCGGUAACGACAAGGACAGAUACUACGGAAGGAUCGAGGAGAUCUGGGAGCUGAGCUACGCUGGAGAGAAGGUCCCGAUGUUCCGUGUCAGAUGGGCCAAGAAUGUCAUAAAAGAAGACCGGUAUUUCACCACCAUGGUUAUACCCGAAGCCAAAUCCAAGACCGCGGGCGCAAACGUCACCGCGAAAAAUGAGCCAUGGGUACUGGCUUCCCAAGUGGACCAAUGCUUCUUCAUUACCGACCCGCCAAAGCCCAGUCGUGUUGUCGUGAGGAGAGGCAAAAGGAAGAUCAUCGGAAUGGAUGGAGUAGCCAAUGAGCAAGACUUUGACAAGUACGGCGACCCGAGGAUCGAACAUGACGACGAUGAUGAAGUAGCAGCAUACACCACAAGAAGAAGCAGGACCACCCUACCUAAAGGACGUCCGUUCCAUAGAAGAACUCCAUUUGCGAAAAAGAAGGGCAAGAAGAUUGUGAACAGAUAGCUAGCUAAGAUCGAUUGUAUUUAAAUCGUAGACUUCAUUUCUCGAUUAUAUUUCAUGGGCACUUUUUGAACUAUCAUGAAUAUUUUUUAAUUUCAUGGACACUCGAUCUCGAUCCUCCUCCAUCUUGAUCUCUAUCCCACCUCGCCAGAUCCGGUCCACCGGCCGCGGCCGCCGACCGCCCGCACCCUCUCGAUUCCCCUACUCAACCGCCGCCGCCGACCCCCCGCACCCCAGAUCCGGUCCACCGGCCNNNNNNNNNNNNNNNNNNNNNNNNNNNNNNNNNNNNNNNNNNNNNNNNNNNNNNNNNNNNNNNNNNNNNNNNNNNNNNNNNNNNNNNNNNNNNNNNNNNNNNNNNNNNNNNNNNNNNNNNNNNNNNNNNNNNNNNNNNNNNNNNNNNNNNNNNNNNNNNNNNNNNNNNNNNNNNNNNNNNNNNNNNNNNNNNNNNNNNNNNNNNNNNNNNNNNNNNNNNNNNNNNNNNNNNNNNNNNNNNNNNNNNNNNNNNNNNNNNNNNNNNNNNNNNNNNNNNNNNNNNNNNNNNNNNNNNNNNNNNNNNNNNNNNNNNNNNNNNNNNNNNNNNNNNNNNNNNNNNNNNNNNNNNNNNNNNNNNNNNNNNNNNNNNNNNNNNNNNNNNNNNNNNNNNNNNNNNNNNNNNNNNNNNNNNNNNNNNNNNNNNNNNNNNNNNNNNNNNNNNNNNNNNNNNNNNNNNNNNNNNNNNNNCCCCGCUCCACCGGCAUUACUGUUUGAUGAUAUUUUUUAAAAAAAUAUUACUGUCUUAUAAAAAAAAUAUUACUGUUAUGAUUUAAACAAGUUUGAACAUAUUUAAACACAAAUAAGUAUCAAACAGCAUUUUAAAUGCAUAAAAAAAAUUUGGAGCCUGGGAAUCGAACCCAGGACCUCCUGGUGUGAGAACUAGCUGCUGACCAGUCGAGCUAGUAGAGAAGACUUGACAUGUAUCAGGUCAGGUGGUAGAUAAUUGUUGGCUCGAGCAGAAAAAAAAUACUAAUGGCACACCUCACCCUGGUGCGCCAUUAGUAUGUAUGUACUUAUGGCGCACCGAGGCGUGGUGCGCCAUUAGUAUUGUGGCGCCCCUACUUCGUACCGAUCCCCUCUCUCUCCCUCGCCCUCGCAUGCGAUCCCCUUCCCCGAUCUCCUCUCCCAACGCCACUGUCGCCCCGCCCCGACACCACCGUCGCCCCGCCGCCCUCGACGCCACCGUCGCCCUGCCCCNNNNNNNNNNNNNNNNNNNNNNNNNNNNNNNNNNNNNNNNNNNNNNNNNNNNNNNNNNNNNNNNNNNNNNNNNNNNNNNNNNNNNNNNNNNNNNNNNNNNNNNNNNNNNNNNNNNNNNNNNNNNNNNNNNNNNNNNNNNNNNNNNNNNNNNNNNNNNNNNNNNNNNNNNNNNNNNNNNNNNNNNNNNNNNNNNNNNNNNNNNNNNNNNNNNNNNNNNNNNNNNNNNNNNNNNNNNNNNNNNNNNNNNNNNNNNNNNNNNNNNNNNNNNNNNNNNNNNNNNNNNNNNNNNNNNNNNNNNNNNNNNNNNNNNNNNNNNNNNNNNNNNNNNNNNNNNNNNNNNNNNNNNNNNNNNNNNNNNNNNNNNNNNNNNNNNNNNNNNNNNNNNNNNNNNNNNNNNNNNNNNNNNNNNAUUGAUUUUUUUUCGGUAAACUAGGCUAGGGUUCGAUGGAUUAUGGAGAUUCAUGGUGAUUCAUCAGUGAAUAAAUUCGUUCCAAGAACAAGAUCAUGGCCAUUUCCUGUGCUAGCUAGAGCCGUUGUCAGCCUGUGCAAGGUUCAGAACAAGUUGUCAGCGUCUUUGUGCUCUAUACUUUGUAUGAAAAUAGCAUCGCUAAUAGUAAUCACCGAGGGAUAAAAAAUACGAAUGAUAUUAUAGUUUUUCUAUACUUCAAGUUUCUAUUUUGUAUAUGCUCACCUGCAUCUGCUCCGGUAUAAUGUCUUUGACGUGAUAAUGCAAUUAAAAAGCAAUAUUGGUUGAGAGAAAUUGCUGUACUGGUUAAGACAACUGAUUUUCAUACAAUGGCAGCAGUGCACAAACAGUGUGAGUGGUGUGUACUUAUUUCAGAGAUGAUUGGUGUCGGCUCAGCGGCUGCCAUUUAAUCAAAUCACAAUUCGUAGACUACUGAUUCCUGAACUCUUUAUGGUUUGUUAAGGUUCAGGACAAGCCCGUGACUAUCGUGUUUCUAGUAGCUAAAAUCUAUUUGUUCCUAUUGGCAUUGGCUUGAUUGUUCUAAAACUCAGAACCUGUUGGACAAUGACAUUAUUUGUAACGGCAGCAUGAGAGGAGGAAGAUUUUGGUUUCUUGUUCUGUAUUAAUAACUUCCUAUAAGCAAUGCACCUCUGAUGAUUUUGUCAAAAGCGUGUCGAGUCGAUAUUCUCAAUAUAUUAUUCUUUAUCAGUUUACAAGUUGAUUAAUUUCCUCUGAUUAUUCUCAAAUUCUUGAAUUAUUUGUAAUGUCUUGCAGAAUUAUUUGUGCCUUUGUUUUUUCCUAAGUUUAGGAUGCACUCUGUUAGGAUUUAGAAAAAGUAGACGAGAGAGAUUAAAGGGGUUGUGACCAAUGCUCCUCCGUCCUGUAAUGUGAUACAUUUUUUUGACAGUGUGUCGAAAUGUCUUGCAUUAUGGGAUGGAGGGAGUAUUUGUCAGGUAUGUGACAUACUUCUCCCAUAAACGUCAGGUAUGUGACAUUAUGGGAUUAGGGGUUACAAAAAACAUCAGUUACAAAAAAGUUCAGAUUGUAAAAUGUUCAUUUUGCAGCUAGUGCCCAUUUUGAGUAAUUGCUUAGAGGGAUGAUCCUGUGUGAGCUGGUGGAGUGAUUUGUUUUCUACAUAAAGCUCUUUAGUCAGGCUGGUUUUCGUGAAAUACGCAUGAAGCUUCACCAGCUCCUGUGGGUGUGGGAUCCAUGUGACAUGUGACAUUGCAUCCAUGUCCACCUGGAAUAAUGAUUUUGCAGGUACCCCGAGAGGCCCUUGAGUUUGCUGGAAUGUUGAUUAACUUCCGUUCCGGCAAAUUCGGGUACUCCAUAUGUCCUAUUUUCAGCAAAGGUCAUGCUGAAAUUUUCCGUGAAUUUUAGCAUGACUUUGCUAAAAAUAGGACAUAUGGGGUACUUGUGACUAAUGCAUGGGCCGGGGUAUCGUAGUAGUUAAUUAAGUAGGAUCAAGUGCCCCGGCGUACUUGUGACUAAUGCAUGGCUUUUAGGGUGCCUCGGUGUCGAUAAAAACCGAAAUGAUGAAAGCUUAGGCUUUUAGGGUGCCUCGGCGUCGAAAAACCCUCAAUGAUAAAAGCUUAGAUUUUAGGAUGCCUCGGUGUCGACAAACCCUAAAUGAUGAGACCAUGAUCUUGUUCGUUGACAAUAACCAACUUUUUGACCAAGCUUUGUUUCUAUUUAGAGAGAAACAUGGCCCACAACGAUGAGGCCGGGGGUUCGGGCGGCAAGGCAUUCUAGGAGUUGUCCCAGGAGAUGGAGGAACAACCUCACUUGUAUGAGGCCGCCGCCUUCCCCACCGAUCCUGAGACCACUGAUGGUGCCGCCGAGGAUGACCACACUGAUGCCACCACUGAUGGUGCCGCCGAGGAUGCCACCACUGAUGAUGACGGCGCACGCACAGAAGGCAGCCAACCGAAGAGGCAACGGAAGGACCGGCGCCCGACCAUGCUCCGCACCCUCAAGGAGGAAGUUACUGAAGUGGACUCCAACGGGAAUCCAACGGUGCCCGAACGAAUAGUCAAGGGGUACUCGCUUCAGCUCGGGUGCAUUGUCCGGAGCACCCUCUCGAUCAACACCGAGAACCUGAGGCAUCCUGACAGAGGGAAUUUGCGCAACCUCCUCUUCACGAAGCUGCAUGAACGAUAUAAGUUCCCCGCUGAAUUUGCAAACACAAGCCUCAACGGGAAUAAAGUGAACAAUGCUGCCCUCACGAAGAUGAGCAAGGCCCUGUCUACUUGGAAAAGCAAUGUGAAAAGAAUGAUCGAGAAAGAUGAGAGUUAUCAGAAGAUCAAGGAGAAAAAUCCUUCGAUCACCGAAGAUGACUACAACGACUUCAAGAUCAAUUGCUCGAGGACCGCAAACUCCCAAGCAAGUGAGCGGGGGAAACAAAUGCGGGAGCUGAACAUAGGGGAACACACACUCGGUCCCGGCGGUUACAGAGUGGCGGAGCCUAUAUGGGACAAGGAGGAGGCGGACCGUGCCGAGCAAGGCCUACCGCCCCUCUUCGAUAAAUACGGUGACAAGCAGACCAGGAACUUUGUCAGGGCCCGGUGCAAGAAGGACCCGAAAACAAAGGAGCUUACCACGGAUCCGAAGACCAGGCAGCUUGAGCUUGUUCUGGUAAGGAAUACACCCCCGCGUAAUUAGCUCCAUAUGAUUGCAUUCUAAUUAAUGAAGCCAAAUUUCUAAAUGGUUCACAUUCCUUCCGCAGGCGACUGAAAGCAGUAGCGCGGGGUCGACUAAGAGCAACCCUUGGGACACCACUCUAAAUAGGGGGUUGAAUGUAAUGAAGAACAAGGAUAAGCUCAGUAAGCCGACGUCAGCUGGUCGUGUGGCCGGCAAAGGCUUGUCGACAAAAUGGGGGUCAUACUAUACCGCUGGUGUGCGGAAGGAGAAAAAGACCAGCUCGGAAAGCCAGGCGCGAGAGGUUCAAGAACUCAAGGCACAGGUGGCGCGGAUUCCGGAGAUUGUCCAAGAGCAAGUGGAACAACGACUCGGAGCGACGAUCACCGCCAUUGUGCCUACCUUGAUCUCGGGGUUGAGUGCGUGGAUUGCGGGCGGCCAACAGGGGCCGCCCCGAUUCCUAGCUUCACGGCUAGCAACUCGCAUAAUGCGAUGGCGGGGCCAUUGGUGCCUCCGGCGGAGGCGGCAUUGGUGUCUCCGACGCCGGCACGGGAGCUUAAUGCACCCGGGUGUACGCCGGCCGACACCUCUACAGCAAGCGGCCCCUCCGUCAACUGCACGCCCGCCGUUGGCGGUGCCUCUACAUUAGCCGAGCUCGACGCCAUCAUCACGGUAACUAAUUAAGCCUCUCUCGGCCGAGGACUUCAUCUCCUUGCCUUUGACUGGGCAUCCCUGACACCCUACAUGUUUUCGCAGGGCGCCGCCGACGUUCCGUGCACUCUCCUCCACUUCGUGAACAACGAGUUGGUCGAUGUCGCCAAGGGAAAAAUAGUUCAACCGGGCAACCCCUUGUUCCACGGUACCCAGAUGCCACCCAACUUGUUUAGGGUUCAACUGGUUCGGGUGCUGCCAGGCUGCGACGAGUUGUUACCUCCGAUUCGACCCGUCGGGGCCGACGAUGAUGACGUGAUGACCCUCAGCACAUGCUUGAGCUGGCCCCUGCUUUGGCCGAAGAGCGAGAUUCAUUUGGGGGCGGGGGACACCACCCCAAAGACAACACCGCCAGUCGUGCCGGCGCCAAGUCGGCCCCAUGGCAAGACCGCCGCAACAGUGCCGGACAUCCCUAUGCCACUGGAUCCAAACAUGCAUAUGGCACAGGAUCAGAACGACGACGAUGACGAUGAUACAUUUGGCAACGUCGAUCAGUACUUUGUCGAUCAUGUGUACGAUGGCGACUUCAUGGGGCCUCCUUCUCAAGAACCAAACCCAACAAAAGACGUGUGCGAUCUAGCUCGUACCGCGGAGAAGCCAAGUUGCAACAGGCGUCGUCUGGCGUUCAGCUCUCAGGAGACGCCUCUAGAUGCCGACUACACCGAGCCUCAGAUAGGCGAGGUGCGAAAUAUUAUCAGCCCCAACACACUCAAGAAGGCGGUCUGUGAGCAAAACUCGGUCCCAUUACAGGAGAAGAAGAAGGCACGCAAAAGAAAGACUAAGAAGGGUGUGAGCCAGCCGGCACAGAGUACGAUCCGUGCUCAGGACGGGCCACCUUCACCGCAGGAUAUCUCGAGGAGGGUGCAUGUGGCGGGUAGGGCGAUGCUACCGACAAAUAUGCUCAAUGCUGCAACCGGUGCUAUGCGGAGUCUGCAUGACAGUGUUCUUUCUUUGGAGAAGCGGCGUCUCAGGGAGAAGGAUGUGGCAUACCCAGUUUUCGCGGCCAAGGUGCCAGAGGGCAAGGGCUUUGUGGAUAACUCCAUCGGGCGUACGAUCGUCCUGCAUUUUGAUGACAUCCACGCUAUGUUGAACCUUCAUCCGCUGCACUACACCUUCGUUCGGCUAUUUUCGCUGAGUAUGGAGAUGCGGAUCAUUCGCGACAAGACCCCGAACAUCGUGAUAGUCGACCCCUUCUACAUGCGUGCCAAGAUCUUGGGCAGCGCUGGGGACCGGCAAGUCGCGAGUUCUUACCUCGAAGGCGUCAUUCUGGCAAACCAAGAUAAGGAUAACUUCCUCGUGCCUUACUUUCCCAAGUAAGACCUCCCCUCAACCGGCCCGUAACAUAUGAAUUCUUACAUUUCGAUCGUUUUUCUUUUAACAUUCCGUGUUUUCUACAGUGACACACGUUGCACGCUCAUCCUCCUAAGCCCCAAAUAUUCCAUGGCCACGUAUUUCGACCUGGACCGUCAGUCGAACGUAGACUACACAAAUGUCAAGAAGGUUCUUGAUGAUGAUCUCCCCGGCUACGCCAAAUCUGGAGGCACCUUCACCAGGCCUAUUCGUAAGUACGGCAAGCACGUGUUCUCCCACAAUACGACGUUCUGCUGCGUCAAGCAACCGCCUGGCGGUCAGAAGGGUGCCUACUACGCCAUCCAUCACAUGCGGGCGAUCGUACGGGACCAUCAUCAACUUCUGCUACCGAGUAAACUCAAAGAUUGGGCAAAGAGCGUGUCGGCAAUCCAGGACGCGGACCUCCGACAAGAAUUCUUUCGCAUCCAGUCGGAGUUUGCGGAAAUCAUCCAUCAAGAUGUCCUUCGUACCUCGGGGCAGUUCUACCUCAACAAUCAACCGUCCAACAGUGACAUCGACACAAUGCCACAAAUGCAGGCUGACAACGACCAUUAUUUCAUGAUUCCCACGAUAGACGGCGGCUUCAUCCACGCUCCGGUCCCUUGAGUCGAGUCGAAAGCAGUGAUGCUGUGUCUAGUUCUGAAACAUCGAUUGGCUCAUGUUGUAAUUAAACUUUAAUGAACUUGUAGUAUGUCUCUUUGGUUUCGAGAGUCGUUUAACAUAGAUGUAAUCGAUGCUAUUAAUGUCUUGCUUUUCUCUUCCGAUCGUUCUGUUGCAUACUUAUAUAUUGCUUAUGUAUUGUCUGUGAAUUGGUACUAACGUUUCGUUUGGCUAGUGCAUAGCGAUGCCGACGUAUGUCGUGUACAAGGGUAAGGUUCCCGGAGUCUACGAUGACUGGGAGGAGUGUCGGAGACAGGUUCACCGAUUCAGCGGUAACAGUUACAAAGGGUACACCACUAGGGCCGAGGCCGAAUCUAGAUACGCCCGCUAUCUAGCGGGAGAGGGGAGGGAGCGUUGGAGGAACCGGAUGAAGACGAGUUUCAUCGUGAUGAUGCUCAUCGUGAUGACCGCAGCUCUCUUCUAUGUGAUGGUAGUUUAGAUGAUCGAUAUCGACUUGUAAUGUGAAGACAAACUCGCUACUCGCGGUCUCGAGACUUGUAAUAUAAUGUUCUAUCUUUGUUCGGUCUUUUCAAUUCGGAGACUAAUAUGAUGAAUUGUAUUCGGAGACUAAUAUGAUGAAUUGUAUUCAAAGACUAAUCUUCUAUUGUAUUCGAUGAAUCUGUUGUUGAUGUGUGCUGUCUAUAUUUUGUCAAAUUAUACAUUUUGUAACCUGUGCAAAAAACAGAAAAUAAAAAAUAAAAAAAACCUAAUAUUCAUACUAAUGGCGCAUCACAUGACAGUGCGCCAUUAGUAUGGCAAAGCAUACUAAUGGCGCAUCACUGGGCAGUGCGCCAUUAGUAUGCCGCGGUUACUAAUGGCGCAUCUCGUGGUCGUGCGCCAUUAGUAUGCCAAAGCACCUGGGUAUACAUGGCCCCUGGGAGGCAUACUAAUGGCGCAUCGUAGCCUAUACUAAUGGCGCACCAGUGGUGCGCCAUUAGUAAAAAUUACUAAUGGCGUGCUAGUAAUGGCGCGCCAGUGAUGCGCCAUUAAUGGCCAAAUUAGGUGCGCCAUUAGUAGCGGUUUUUCUAGUAGUGCCUUAUGCAACUAGUGCAUGUCAGUCGGUGGAACCUGUCUCACGUAAGCGUACGUGUAAGGUCGGUCCGGGCCGCUUCAUCCCACGAUGUCGCCGAAUCAAGAUAAGACUAGUAGUGGCAAGUAAAUUGACAAAAUUGACGCCCACAACAACUUGUGUUCUACUCGUGCAUAGAAACUACGCAUAGACCUAGCUCAUGAUGCCACUGUUGGGGAACGUAGCAGAAAUUCAAAAUUUUCUACGCAUCACCAAGAUCAAUCUAUGGAGUGACUAGCAACGAGACAGAGGGGAGUGCAUCUUGUUACCCUUGAAGAUCGCGAUACGGAAGCGUUGCAAGAACGCGGAUGAAGGAGUCGUACUCACAGCUAUUCAAAUCGCGGAAGAUCCGAUCUAGCACCGAACGGACGGCGCCUCCGCGUUCAACACACGUACAGCCCGAGGACGUCUCCUCCUUCUAGAUCCAGCAAGGGGAGAGGAUAAGUUGAGGGAGAACUCCAACAGCACGACGGCGUGGUGGUGAUGGAGCUCGUGGUUCUCCGGCAGAGCUUCGCUAAGCACUAUAGAGGAGGAGGAAGUGUUGGAGGAGGGAGGGGCUGCGCCAGGGGAAGGUUGUGGCUGCCCUCCCACCCCCUCACUAUAUAUAGGGGGAAGGGGAGAGGGGGCCGGCCCCUCUAGAUGGAUCUAGAGGGGCCGGUCGGCGGCCAGGGGAAACCCUAGAUGGGUUUCAGCGCCCCCACCCCCUAGGAAACUUGCUCCCCAAGCCGGGAGGGGAGGCUGCCCUAGGGGUGGCGCCCCUACCUCUCCAGGUUACGUGAGAUGGGGUGGGAAGGGCGCUCAACCCCUUAGUGGGCUGAUGUGCCCCCUCCCCUUGGCCCAUAAGGCCCCCCAACACUUGUCGGGGCCUCCGAAACCCCUUUCGGCGCUGGUUAUCACCUGGUACCCCCGGAACAAUUCCGGACUCCAAUACCCUUCGUCCAAUAUACCGAUCUUCACCUCCGGACCAUUCCGGAGCUCCUCGUCACGUCCGGAUCUCAUCCGGGACUCCGAACUACCAUCGGUAACCACAUACUAUUUCCCAUAACAACUCUAGCGUCACUGAACCUUAAGUGUGUAGACCCUAUGGGUUCGGGAACCAUGCAGACAUGACCGAGACAUCUCUCAGCCAAUAACCAACAGCGGGAUCUGGAUACCCAUGUUGGCUCCCACAUGUUCCACGAUGAUCUCAUCGGAUGAACCACAAUGUCGAGGAUUCAAGCAAUCCCGUAUACAAUUCCCUUUGUCAAUCGGUACGUUACUUGCCCAAGAUUCGAUCGUCGGUAUCCCAAUACCUCGUUCAAUCUCGUUACCGGCAAGUCACUUUACUCGUUCCGUAAUGCAUGAUCCUGUGAUUAACUACUUAGUCACAUUGAGCUCAUUAUGAUGAUGCAUUACCGAGUGGGCCCAGAGAUACCUCUCCAUCAUACGGAGUGACAAAUCCCAGUCUCGAUUCGUGCCAACCCAACAGACACUUUCGGAGAUACCUGUAGUGCACCUUUGUAGCCACCCAGUUACGUUGUGACGUUUGAUACACCCAAAGCAUUCCUACGAUAUUCGGGAGUUGCACAAUCUCAAUGUCUAAGGAAAUGAUACUUGACAUUAGAAAAGCUCUUAGCAAACGAACUAUACGAUCUUGUGCUAUGCUUAGGAUUGGGUCUUGUCCAUCACAUCAUUCUCCUAAUGAUGUGAUCCCGUUAUCAAUGACAUCCUAUGUUCAUGGUCAGGAAACCAUAACCAUCUAUUGAUCAACGAGCUAGUCAACUAGAGGCUCACUAGGGACAUGUUGUGGUCUAUGUAUUCACACAUGUAUUACGGUUUCCAGUUAAUACAAUUAUAGCAUGAACAAUAGACAAUUGUCAUGAAGAAGGAAAUAUAAUAAUAAUCAUUUUAUUAUUGCCUCUAGGGCAUAUUUUCAACAGGCCCAACAGUAUAUACGGGCUACCAAACAGUCCUUACUUCAUUUGUGCAACUUGCGUUCGUCAGCCAAUCGAUGUUUUAAAAAAGAGUUGCACUGUAGGUUGUGAUUCUGGAUCAAACAUGUGACUAAUCAUUCACUUGCAGACUCCUAAUCAGCCGUGUGAUUUAGCAUAAGUGAGAGUGUGUUAACCUAGCGGACAUGAUUGUUUAGAACUGAUUGGUUGACAUGAUUGUUCCUUUUUUGCGAUUUCUCUUUUCAAAUUCAUGAACAUAUGUUUAUUUCAUCAAAUUCAAAAAAAAUGUUCUACAGGGUAAAAAAAAUGGUCAACAAUUUAAAUAAUGUUCAUCGGAUUUGAAAAUGUUCGUCGGACUACAAAAUAUUUUCAUCUUUUCGUUCACUAUUUUGAAAAAAUGUUCAUCAAAUUAAAAAAAAUCAUUGAAUGAAAAUGGUGUUCAUCAUUUUUCAGAACAAAUGUACUGGAAUACAAAUUAUAUUCGUCAGGUUCAAAAAAUAUUCAUUGCAUUUAAAAUUGGUUCAUCAAGUACAAAAAAAUGUUCUUUAAUAUUCAAAAUGAUCAUAAAACAUUUUUGAGCAAAAUAAAGAAAAUGCUCAUUCUUUUUAAAUCACGAACAUUUUUUGAAUCCAUGAACUUUUUUUAACAAUUUGCUGUUUUUUCCCAAAUUUUAGAACUUGGUAAUCCCGAAUUAUUUUAACAUAGAAUAAAAUAAAAAAUUAAAAAACGAAAACGUAAAAACAAAACAGGGAGCUCUCCGCCCCGCAAAUUUCGUGCAUGGGCUGGGCCACCAUGACGAACCAUUUCGUCAAACCCGGACAAGGUAUUGGGCUAUCCCACAACCUUGGUGCUAUCAUGGGCUGGCCUAUGAAUCCAAUUUCAUUUACAAUGCAUUUUUUACAUUUUAUUUAGCUCUGGUAGUUUUCAGUUCUGGCUCUUUUGGUUUGUACCAAUUUCAAUUAUUUUAAUCACUGUAUUUUUUGUAUUUCGACUUAUUAAUUUAUUUCUCUGCUUGAGUACAUGUGUGGUGCUCGAUUGUGGGCUGUGUGUUUAUACCAGAAUGCUGUAUAUGUCUAGCUGGAUUUGCUAAAAGUAUUCGAGGAUGUACGGGACAGCAGGCAUAUAUACCAGAAUGGUAACAUGCAAAGCACCGACCGACUAUAACUUAGUUAAACACUGGCUUUGCGUGAUUAUUAUUAGUUGGUUCAUUUACCUGCCCCAAUUUGGCCUCGUGCUUUUGCCAAACCAUGAUUACUACUACUACUACUACGUGUGUGAUUGACUCCGUGCAUACAGUAACUUCCAUUGCGUCAAUCUUCUAAAACACUCGCAUGUAUCCUCGCUCGUGUGUGAUUGGCUCCCAUAUAAUAUACUAGCAUGCAGAAGGCGCCCCGUGGUUGAGCCCGUGCGUAUGUGUGUGUUCUUCUUAUUCCGAAGUAAGAGAAGGCAUGGUGGUGGUACAGAGGUCGAGCUGGUUGCAGACGCUAUUCUUAUCUUAUAUCAAGAAAACAAAGUACAUUCAACUGAAGUUAUUUAUAAUUUUGCAUGCUACAUCCAACUAAAAUUAAGGGUAUUAAUUAAGCUAUUCAAACCAAUCACCGUUAUUUUUUUUCUUCAAAAGCAUAAUAUAUGGGACCGAGCAUUUAACACCAACAUUUUACACGUUCUUUCUCUAUCUAUCUCUCUGCAUGUAUGUUAAUGUGGAAUAUCAGUGGAAGCAAAUGGAUUAUUUGUACGUAGAGAAUAGCCCCUUAUGGAAAUCGCAAGGACAAUCAUUCAUAUUCUUAUCUAACUAUGUGUAUUAUAGAAAUGCUAGCUACAACAGUCAGAGCUUCUUAGCGAACAUGUGAGCAAGCUCCUGGAUAAUCAAAAAAUGAAAUAGGACUUGCAGCAGGCACGAUCUUCCAAUUGCAACUGUAAUUGCUCAAUGCCUUUUGGACUUUGAAUAUACUCCAUGGUUCGAUUUAUAGAGACAAAAUACUGUAAUUGCUCAAUACCUUUUGGACUUUGAAAUACUCCAUGGUUCUGUUUAUAGAGACAAAAUAUUAAUGGUAAUCUUAUGAGAAUCCAACUUGUCUGGUAAGAAUUAUCAGCAAGCUGCAAAACAAAAUGCACUUUGUCAUUUGAAAAUGAAAAUAGAAAGAAUUGGACAAUCAGCAUGAACCAUACAAAACACCUACAUUUCGUUUUCCUCUGAAUUUCUAUCAAUCAGUUGCUUUCUCUUAAUGAACAGCCACAAAUCGCAGCAAAAUUGACCCUAAAGUAACAACAGUGCAUGAAAUAAGAAUAGGAAACAUUGAGCACUAUAAGGUAACCUUGCCCUUUAUUACAAAUAGUAUUCCGUGUGACCUAUGCCUGAAACUACUGUCAGGAUAAAACACAUAAUGAAACUAUGUAAUAUUGUGGGUACUCAACAUAUUGUUUCCCAAAGAUAUCAUGACUUUUCAGUUUUCUCUUUCUCUUGACUCAUCCAAAUAUAGUACAUUAAUCCAAAAUGAUUUCUAGAGCAGAGAAUGUCACAUAGAGGGAUUAGAAGAUCGCUAAUAUAGUAAGUUAAAUGUACACAAAUAUGGUGCUUAAAAUAUAAACCAUAGUACAUAGGAUUUAUGUGCAAAUCCAAAGAAACAAAAACUAAGGGUGACAGCGAGAACUUUUUUCAUAAAUAUGCAAGGGCAUCUGUACAUGGGUACCUGAAAGGCUGAACCAACCUAAACUGAAGUUCGCAGCCCUUCGAAACCCAUAUGUUCCUUUCUACCUAUCCCUCCCUAUCUUAAAAAGGACCACACCAUACCAUCAGAUUGAGAAACUUGGUUGACAUAAGUCCUUAACUUCUUUACUUAAUAUGAACAUGAUGCAAUCUUUAUUUAAAUUAGUUCUUGGUUACAUCGUAUCUUAAUUUUUUCCAAACAUGGUAAUUGGCGGCGGCCCGGCGUGGCCGGCGAUCUGGAUGCGGUGGUGCCGGCGGCUCGCUGAUCUGCCGGUGCUCCAGGGUUCUGCCUGGUGGUGCUGGUGGUGACGGCGGCCCGUGCACGAGAGUUGGAUCCCUUCGAACUGAUCUGGGUGAAAACUUGCCUUCGGCGUCUGCUAAGGCCGGCGGUGGCGGCGCUAUCUGCGUCGUUCCCUUCUUGAAGGCAUCGCCGUGGAGAAGUUCAAGGCCACUCUCUGCUACCUCUGGGGGAAACCCUAGAUCGGAUGAUCGAAUGACGGCGGCGCUCUGGUGUCGCUCCUCCCUUGGGGGCGUCAUUCUUGGAGGUACACACGUGAUCGAGGGACCAGAGGACGGAUUCUUUGUUGGAGUGGUGCUUUAUCCUACACACUGAUGGCGACGGAUCUUGACAGCGUGGCGUAAUGCAGAUUCGGAGUUCGAUGUGGGAGGAUGGACUCGCGCAGGAGGACGACGCUGUCGGGCGUCCUGGUGGCGUCAAUGAGAGAGAGCUGACACGGUACGUCCGACAGUAUAGCUCUGAAGAUGGAUUGGUGGCAGGUGGCUGCGGCGGCCUCAUACCCGGUAGGCGUCCUGGUUGAGGAGUGUGCCGGACUGGUAGGUGCCCCAUACCCGGCAAGCGUCCUGGUUGGGACCUCAGGUCUUAGAUAUUUAGGUUUGGCUGCGAUGUCUGUUUGGUAUUAGACCCAGACUAUCUGCGCCCCUUCAUCAAUUGGAUAGGUGUAGCAACAGUUGUUGCUUAGACGGUGGCUUUAGUCUUACUGUUAUAUGGCUUUAUAAAGUCUUGUGAGAAUAAUUAAUAAAGUGGCCGUAUGCAUCGCUCAAAUGCAGAGGCCGGGGGUCAUCCUCCUUUUCUAAAAAAAUAAUAAUAAAGAAAACCAAAGUUAAGUUAAGAUUAGACUAAGUUGAAGCUUAGAAAGAGCCUGAAUGGGGAUGUCGUGGGGACCAACUCCUCCUUUGUCGUGACGAUGGUGCCAGGCAUUCAAUUUUGGUGCAAACACCAAGUGAAAUAAGGUGUGAAUAAUUUCUCUGAUUUUAAGGGCAAAGGGUAAACCUUUAGCACAUACCAUACUAAACAUUUAACGAUUUGGUGCACCAAACUUGAUCUAUUUUUUUACUUGUUCCAUAACUAUUCAGUUUCCAUAUACAUCAUUUAUUGUUAAACUGAAUGCACACAAUGGCACGGUGACUGCUAUCUUCUGUAAGCAAAUUUGGAGCCAGUUUGGUCAUAAUGAACUCACAUCUUUCAAAUUGCAUUCCAAAGGAAAUAACUCAACAUACUGUACAUUAUCUUUGUAGGAUCCUUCCGAAGCUACUAACAGAUUUGCAACCGUUGGAUGUUGGUACUAUGAGAUGACACAAAUGAACUUUUCGCAAGUGUAUAGGUACUAUGAGAUGACACAAAUGAACUCAUGUUCGUGGCUGUCGCCGAGGGGAAGGGCCUCGUGUGUGACACCGUCAUGGGCCCACCCACGCGUAUAGUUGUGCGUCACCACCAAGCGGCGAGGCCGCCGCCGCCAAGUAUACCGGGGUCAUGCUGGGUGAGAUCGGCAGUUGAUUAGCGACACCAUCCACUGCUCGAUCUGGACCCAAGUCACUGGGCGCGGAUCAAUGGCUAAGGAGGUGGUGAAGGAUAGGUAUAUGCUAGCAGUGCUCCGGGGUAACGCACGACACUGAUGGUGUGGUCCACGGCGAAUUUGUGGACUGCAGUGGUGUGGAGGAGGUUGGGAAGUCAAAAGAAAAGGUUUUGUGAUGGUAGGAGGACUCUCGAGAGAUAAACCAAAGCGGUCAGUGGACAUGCAUCUUUUGUUUGGUUCGGCUGGCUGGCUCUAGAAAAACCGCUGGACAAAACACACGAAGAAGCUGCCUGCCGGGUAAAUCUCGAUGAGUGUAUGUGUGUAUAUAUGAGCGUCUGCGUCUCUAUUGUGUUUAAAAGAGAAGAUGCCCUUUCAUCAUCCCAUGCAAAUUCCUUAAGAGACAGUAAAAAUGUUUAAAAGGCCACCACAGUGAGUGUAUGUGUGUAUGUAUGAGCGUCUGCAUCUAUAAUGUGUUUAAAAGUAUGUGUGUGUGUAUAAGCGUCUGCAUCUAUAUUGUGUUAAAAGAGAAGCUACCCUCCCAUCACCCCAUGUAAAUUCCUUAAGAGUCAGUACAAUAUGUAGAAAAAGAAAGCCUAGCCAAUUCUUUAGUGGGAACACAUGGCAGCUAGUGAAGCAACAACGCCCAACACCUCCAAUGCAAGGCUAGCUUAGCCACUUUAAGAUUCUUUUGUAUGCGUGUGUGUAUAUAUAUAUAGGGAAAAGCAAAACUAUUGUGUUUCUCUUCAGAGGUGGCAAUCUCAGCCACAUGCUCGCGUUGGGAUCCGGUCCACUUCCUUCCUCAAAACAUUUCUAACAUUUUGUAUGUGUGAAGUUUAUUUCCUCUUUUAGAUGAAUCUGGACCACUUUCGCAUUUGCAUAGACACUAGGCCCAGCCCGUAGGCUGGCACGCCUGCACCGUGCCAGUGUUCAGGCUGGAGCAAAGAGUUCCCAGCCAACGGAAGGUCCUUGUAUGUGCGAUCGGUUCCAUGUGCAGGCAAGGUUCUUGCAUUGUUUUUCAGCCGUGAUGUGCUCGGACUGUGGGUUGGGAUAUUACCAUCCAGUUUCUCUCCUCCAUCACCAGUCGCUCUCUUUCUUUGUUCUCCAUCUCGAUUGAUCUCAGAGGAAAGUAUCGUNNNNNNNNNNNNNNNNNNNNNNNNNNNNNNNNNNNNNNNNNNNNNNNNNNNNNNNNNNNNNNNNNNNNNNNNNNNNNNNNNNNNNNNNNNNNNNNNNNNNNNNNNNNNNNNNNNNNNNNNNNNNNNNNNNNNNNNNNNNNNNNNNNNNNNNNNNNNNNNNNNNNNNNNNNNNNNNNNNNNNNNNNNNNNNNNNNNNNNNNNNNNNNNNNNNNNNNNNNNNNNNNNNNNNNNNNNNNNNNNNNNNNNNNNNNNNNNNNNNNNNNNNNNNNNNNNNNNNNNNNNNNNNNNNNNNNNNNNNNNNNNNNNNNNNNNNNNNNNNNNNNNNNNNNNNNNNNNNNNNNNNNNNNNNNNNNNNNNNNNNNNNNNNNNNNNNNNNNNNNNNNNNNNNNNNNNNNNNNNNNNNNNNNUCUCUAAAACCGGAUCAAUUCCCCCCUAAAAGUGGUUUCGUGAUCCAUCUAGUCCAAGUUCUUCCACAGGAAUGACUUCCCCUUCGUCGCUCGCUCGGCUCCCGCGAGCCGACGGGCGACUCUGCGCCGCCCCCUUCCUCCGCCCCCUCCCUUCCUCCCUCCCCCUCGCCGCCGCCAGAGGGUGCGACCAGGCAAAGCCCGGCCGGCGCCGGCGACGGCAGGAGGCCUUCCUCAUCCCUCGGCUGGUGGUGGCGCGGGACACGGCCGCUGGGUGGAGGCGCCAUGUUGGUGCGGGGCAUGGCGGCGCGGCGGCGCGUGGCUGCUGCGGUGGCGCAGGUGCGUGUUGGCGGCGCGGCGGCUGCACGGCGGCGGGGUUGUGCGUGCUCUGCUUGCCCCUUCGGUCGGGUCUGCUAGGGUUCGCCCUCCUCAGAUCUGACGCGGCGGCUACCAUGGUGGCGCGAAGCGGCCUCCAUUCCGUUGGGUGUGUGCGUGUCUCCUGGUGGUGGCGGGCUGCGGGGGUGGUGCCCGAUCUGGUGGUCUUGCUGCAGCUCGUGCGGGAUGACCAUGGCGGGCGGCACAGGUUGUGGAUGGCUUGGGCUGCGGUCGGCGGCUUCUUCCUUGCCGCUGGGCGGAGGUAGCAGCGGCGUGGUGCGGUGGAGGCGGUGCGGACCGGAGUCGCUCCGGGCGGUUGUGUUGGCGUCCGGGGUGGAUGUCUUGUGGCGCAGGUGCGUGUCCGGCGGCUCCGACGCUUGGAGCUCGCCGGACGGCACGGGUUGGGCAGUGGCCCGGUGUGGCUGCUGGUCCGGCCGGCUCGAUGGAUCUGUCCGCGGCAACGGUCGGCUUCUCCGGCGUCGGUUUGUCUGCGUUCGGGCCGUCUCGACCUUCACCCCAUCUCCUCGUCGCCCGGACGCUACUCCCAUCAAAGGGAUGGUCCUCUCCCAGCUGCGGUCCACCGCUCGUCUCGCGCCCGAUGCAGCAGGACAGAGCUUGUCUCGCGCAGGAUGCAGCUGGACCGAGCUCGUCUCGCGCACAGUGCAGCAGGACUGACCUCGUCCCCCUCUUGUUGCUGCAGGACCGAGCUCAUCUCGCGCUUGGGGCAGCAGGAUGGGUCGGUGGGUGCUAGUUCUGUCCGACCUAUUGGGUCUCGACGCUGGGGGUCACCUAGGGGCGCGAAAGGUGGACCUUUCCGCUCGUCUCUUUCGUUGGGGGGCGGUGGGUCACGGGUGAGGUGGUGUCGAGGUCUUGGAUGCUGGGGCGGCGGCCCUGCUGAUGGUGGUUGUGCGGUGCUCUUGGACAAAGCCCGUGCCUUGGUGCUGCCCGGUCAUCAUGGUCGUGUGGGCGGCGUGGUUGCCGGGUUGUGGCGUUCGGUGGCGGUGAUUGUUGGCCGAGGUGAAAACCUGCUCUAUCUUCGGACGGACCAGCGGCAGCGAAAUCGUUCCCUUCUUGAAGGCAUUGUCGCGGCUCUCAUUGCCCGUCAUGCGGCUCCGGGGGAAACUCUGAUCCUUGGAUCGGGCGGUGGCGGCGCUCCGGCGUCGUAUCCUUCCUGAAGGCACCGCCUUGGAGCACAUGGUUCGUCAUAUGUAGCUUCAUAUCUUCAGGGCGGUAGUGCUAGGAAUGGUGUUGCUGUGCUCAGCGCCUAUGUAUCAUGUCUUGGGUGUGUGCGUGUGUUGCGGUGGCGUGGCGUGUGGUUGUACUGGAUGCUUGUGGUUUGGUGCUUUAUAUAUAAAGCGGGGCGAAAGCCUAUUUCGGUAAAGUGGUUUCGUAUUUGAUUUCGAGUGGUUUUGACACAGAUCGUACACUUCUCUUUGAUAUGACCAUGCACUUCGCGCCAUAACAGUUGGCUGGAGAUGAUCGCUUCAGUGCGCCCAGCUCGCCUCCGUCUCCAUGGCCGGCAAGCUCGCGACUCGCUGUCUUCUUGGUCUCCAUCAAGCUCAUUCAUUUCCCACCGUGCAACCUCCGCCGCGCAGCCACACACAGCAACAACCCUCCUGUUGCCAUGUCGCCAAACUGAAGUGGAUUUGUGGGAGUUGUAGUAGUUUUUGUUGAAGCUGUUUUAUGGUUUCUCGAAGGUGAGAUUACUGUUACAUUAUUUGAUUUGCUACAAGUUCUUCACCCUGUCACCCAACUUGCUCUUUUGCUCAUGUGCAUUGUUCAUGUUCUGGCAAGUGCCGUUGUCGGUCAUUUCAUAUUUUUGAUUUUUGAUUUUUACAUGUCCGUCGUUGUAUGCAGUUUUGGUGCGUGCUGGAUGGAUUUUGAACUCUUUCCUAUCCAAUCGGGCCCUUGGGCGAGGCUGUUGUCACAGUCCUCGAAGGUGUGUUGAUUUUCCAUUAGCUCUUAAAACCUUCUUCUAAAUUUGUUAGUUUGACUCUCCUCUGAAAUCUUGGGAGUUACUAUUAACCUGAUAGCAGAUUUUCUAUUAUGUUUUAAGUGACAAUGAAGUGUUAAUCUCUGUAUCUGUUUAAACCACUGUUCUCUGAAUAAAUGUUUCAGCACUACGUGUGCACUAUGUUUUCCGAAUGAAUGAAAUGUGCACCCUGCUCUAUUAAUUCUGUGCCUAUUUAGUUUUUGAGGAUGGUGAGAUUGACAAGUGCAGGUAGUGAUGGAUUUUUUGUUGAGGCUGUGACUUGUGCCUGCUUGAUUUUACAUAUAGUAGAUACAUGUACAUAGGUGAGCACAUUUUGUUCAGUUAGUCAAAGAAUCUCUCCUCCAUUAUCCUUUUUUUAAUUAAUAGAACAGAUGUUAAUGGAAGCAUCAUCACCCUCCUCCUGUCUCCCUCCUCGACCCUCCUCUGUUACAAUGAGGUUGAUUUCUCCACAGAGUUUUUGGCUCAAUUUUUUCUUCAAUGCAUGUAGGUUGUACUUUUCAUGACUAAAGUUGUUGAAGAUAUUGUGUGCGCGCCUCCGGCUUGAGAGAAGGAAUGAGGAUGAUCUCUCAGGUGGCAAGGCCACAAAACCACUCCAAAAAUAAAAUUAGGGCAAAACCCAAAUAAAUCAAAAGAAAAAGAAAGGGCCAAAAACCAGGGUUUUACAGGGAGGCCUCUACCGGCGACUAGGGUUGGCGCGCCCCGGCCACACGUGGUAGUGGGUCGUGAGUCAAAGUCUCAAACUAGGUUGAGAAACAAAACUGAACAAAAGGAGUUCAGAAAAAACACAAAAACUAGGUUUCAAUAGGAUCCAAAUCUCAAAACAAGACGAGAUAGCAGAACAACAACUAACUCUUUUUCACAAUAGCACAAAGGGCCUACCAAAUAACGGCUGACAAAAGAGCAAGCGAACAAAUCUACCACGCUGAUGACAACCUGGGGAGCUUAUGCUGAAAACAUGCCUUGUUACGGAUGAAGUUUCUAGAUAGAAUACCUAAGGAAACUGUUCAAUGCUCGACAAGACAAAUGCUACAAAUGCAAGCCGGCAACCACAGUCUAAGGCCAUCCAUGCUCGAUCGGUACUUUGGCGUCGACGGCCUAGAAGACACCUGCAAGGUCCAUCUACAUAUGGAAGGAAGGCUAACUAGCCAUGGCCGGUUAGUUUGCAAGUAUAGGGGAAGGAAAGAAAUGCUUGCAUAAUAUACAGAAAAGGAAAGAAACACUAACAAUCUUUCUUUAAUCUUACUUAGCAUACAAAGUACUGCCCCGUCCCGAAUUACGUCCUGAAAAUGGAUUGAAAUGGAUGUAUGUAGAACUAAAAAUACGUCUAGAUACAUCCAUUUUCGCGACAAGUAAUUUGGGACGGAGGGAGUAUAUACCGAACAUAUACAUAUCCUAUAUGAAUUUUCAUUGAUGACAACAGGAAUGGAAAGAAAUUCUGAAGAGAUUUUAGUCUAAACAUAUCCAAAGCCGGUUGAUAAGUUUCCAAAAAACAAUCGUUCAAGAGUGUGUUUCCUGCCUAUUUUGUAUCCCUGUAAUGUAUCAGGACAUGCUUUCACACCAGUGGUUCAAUAUGUAGAUGGAAUACUAGUACACACCAGGAUAAGGGAUCAAUAAAUCUUUACCUUUUCCAUUCCUAAUUGUAAAUAGAUUGACACAUGAAAAAUACCAGUAUAUAUAUGCCCACAUAUGCAUCCAAAGAUUCAUCGAGCAAACAAGUAAACACAGCAGCCUAGCAUUGCACCUAUCCCAUAACUUUGUCAACUCUUCUCUUCGAAAUGGAGAAUGUUGUAGUGUUGAUUGUUGGCGUUGGGCCAGCAGGCCUUGCAACAGCAGCAUGCCUUAGCCAAUUCUCAAUUCCCUAUGUCAUUGUCGAGCGUGAAAGUUGCAGCGCGUCGCUUUGGCGCAACCGCGCCUACGAUCGCCUCAAGCUGCAUCUUGCAAAGGAGUUCUGUGAGUUGCCACACAUGUCAUACCCACUAGAUGUGCCAACAUACAUACCAAAAACCUUGUUUAUGAAGUAGUUCGAUAACUAUGUUGAGCGUUUCAAUAUUCGACCCAAGUAUCUCACUAGUGUGGAGACAUCCACAUUUGAAAAUGACCAAAAAUGUUGGUCCAUCGUGGCACAUGACAUGGCAAAGAGCACACUAGUCAGGUGUGCAGAGAAUAUUCCAAUGAUCCCCGGAUUGCGAACUUUUCCGGGUGAUGUCAUCCACUCCUCAAGCUACAAGUCAGGCAAGAGCUACUCUGGCAUGAAUGUAUUGGUCGUUGGAUCUGGCAACUCUGGAAUGGAAAUUGCUUAUGACCUUGCGACCCAUGGUGCCAAUACUUCAAUCAUUAUACGAAGCCCGGUAUGUACACGCGCUAUAUAUUAUUUUUUGACCUAGAAACACUAGGGGAUCCCCCCACCCCCACCCUAUGGGCACUAUAUAUUUUCAGUGGUUACGGGGCAAUUUCUUAAUAUAGUCACCACUAGAAGGAUGCAAUUUUCCAAAGUUAUUACUGGAUAUUUCAUGGUAUAGAGCGAUAGACUAUUUUAUAACAUGCACAAACAACUAAACAAUUAGACGAACUACACAGAAAAAAUAACUCUUGAAAGAAGAUGAUUCUAUGGACUUUUAUUUUAUGAUGCAGGCUUCAAAAGAGAUGUGACAUGUUUUGUGGUUGCAGAUUCAUAUAAUGACAAAAGAAAUAAUCCGGUUGGGGAUGACACUUGCUCGCCGUCUCCCAUUGAAUCUAGUGGAUAACCUCCUUGUGAUGGCGGCAAAUUUCAUAUUUGGUGAUCUAUCGAGGUAUGGCAUCAGAAGGCCAAAAGUGGGUCCAAUGAUCCACAAGUCAGAGACCGGCCGAUCCGCUGUUAUUGAUGUUGGCACCGUUGGUUUAAUCAAAAAAGGUAUCAUCAAAGUAAGUAUAUCAUUGACAUGACAUAAAUUUCAUAACAGAUGUUGUCUUCAUAUGCCAAGGUGUCAAUAUUCUAUUCAUCUCAUACAGGUACAUGGGAGCAUUAGUAAGAGCAUGGGCGAUAUAGUUGAAUUUCAGUGCGGUAAAAAGAUAUCAUUUGACGCGAUUGUGUUUGCAACUGGAUACAAAAGCACAACAAAUAUAUGGCUCAAUGUAACAACAUCGGUGUUUGAAUAUGUCUGAGUUUGUUUUCUUGGCCCAACAAUUGUUAAAUCAGCUAACAAGUUUUGUGUUGUUUUUUAUCCCAGAAUGGUGAGAGCAUGUUAAAUGGCAAUAGACUGCCCAUCAAAGAAUAUCCGAAUCAUUGGAAAGGUGAAAAUGGGCUCUACUGUGCUGGGUUAGGAAGGAGAGGAUUGGCUGGUAUUGCAGCAGAUGCCAAGAAUAUCGCCAAUGACAUCAUAUCAGUGAUAGGUGCUAUGUCCGGGUAAAUUGUUAAAUCGGUGAAUGCGUCUUCGACAACGUGAUGCCUUUCAUCACUGGGCUCCUCAACAAGAUCAAGGAUGAGACUCGAUGCUGGUCUAAGGCAGGGGCACAAGGCCUGCGGGUUGUUCUGCACCAAUUCUGGGAUGUCCACUCAGUUGUAUGAUGUACUGUAAAACUAACCUCCUAGGAGGACUGUAACUUUUCCCCAUCCUUUCAAUGCAAUGAAACGCAAAGGUCUUUUUCAUUUUCUCGAUUGUUUUUAUCUUUUACAUGUAGUUUACAAGGGCUAGUGUGCUAGACGGUUGAUUCUUUGAGAAAUCUAUGCACUGCCACCUGUCUAUCUAUCUUCAUCUAUCCUAGAUAGAACUAGAUUUUUGUUUAUUUCAAGGUUCAUAUGUGCGAGGGAGUAAGCAUUACUUUUAUAAUAUAAUCAAGGGCUUUAUACUCUCAUGGUGCAAAGAGUUUUGUAUUUUUUUCUAUUGAACAGUUACCUCGGAGGGCCGUGGGCGAGGCUGUUGUCAGAGUCCUCGGAGGUGCGUUGAUUUUCCAUUAGCUCUUAAAACCUGAUACUAGAUUUGUUAGUUUGAAUCUUCUCUGAAAUCUUGGGAGUUACUCUUAACCUGAUAGCAGAUUUUCUAUUAUGUUUUAAAUGACAAUGAAGUGUUAAUCUCUGUAUCUGUUUAAACCACUGUUCUCUGAAUAAAUGUUUGAGCACUGCGUGUGCACUAUGUUUUCCAAAAUGUGCACCCUGCUCUAUUAAUUGUUUGCCUAUUUAGUUUUUGAGGAUGGUGAGAUUGACAAGUGCAGAUAGUGAUGGAUUUUUUGUUGAGGAUGUGACUUGUGCCUGUUUGAUUUUGCAUGUGGUAGAUACAUGUACACGGGUGAGCACAUUUUGUUCAGUUAGUCAAAGAAUCUCUCGUCCAUUCUCCUUUUUUUAAUUAAUAAAACAGAUGUUCAUGGAAGCAUCAUCACCCUCCUCCUGGCUCCCACCUCGACCCUCCUCUGUAACAAUGAGGUUGAUUUCUCCAUAGAGUUUUUGGCUCAAUUUUUUUUAGUGCAUGUAGUUUGUGCUUUUCAUGACUAAAGUUGUUGAAGAUAUUGUGUGCGCGCCUCCGGCUGCUGGUGUUGAAGAAAAAUUGAUGCCCAUGUGUGUGCUCGAGGCUGCACUUGAUAUAAUUCUUAUUCGGAUCAUGACUGAACUUGCAGUGCAGAACUUUUUCCGUGUUGACUUGGAGUUUUUGAGCUCUUUCUCAUUGGUGCGGUUUCAAUUAUACUGACUCAUCGUGUACCCUGCUUCAAUGUUUCCCCCGUGAAUGGUGCAAUUUGUUGCCCAGAUUGUGCUGACCGUACGAUAGUCGUGUAUUAAAAUGAGAAAAAAUAAGAAUCCUUUUGUUUAUCUCCUAAGAUAUUGGUUCUGGUUUCUAAGAACUCAAAUUACUAAGUUGUGCUCAGUGUUCUACUACCACCGCUUCUAUUAGCCUUUUUUUUGGUGCUGCAACCUGUACGGAUUACUUAAAGGAAAA
rnacentral:lncRNA from 1 species